UGCUUUCCUCAUAAAUAUAUAUCUGUUAUAGACAUUCUACAAAUCAGGCCAUCUAUGCAAUCCUGCAAAGUAUUUUUUCCUGCUGAUCUAGUUUAUGCCAAAAGACUUAUGUAUAGACCUCUAAUAUGGAGAUUCUUGCUAAGCAGACUAUUUGCAAAUAUCGAGAUUACAAUGCCAAGAGCAAGGUAUUUCAUAAAUUGAGGGUACAUAAUUCUGCGUUCUGGCCAUGCAAUCCCCAUGCUUUCUUCCUUACUCUCUCUUCUCCCCUCUCUACCUCCUAUCUUUUCUCACGUACCUUUGAUAAGUCAGAGAUCAGAUCAGAUCUUUAGUCCUGAAGGACCCUCUUAAUCCAACCGAAAGAAUCAUGAACCAGACCUUGAGGUUUUUUUUUUAAUUUUUUCUUUCCCCAAACUGAACCCUGUUUCAUGAUGUUGAAGAACCUAAAGGAGUAUAGGCAGCUUUUGCUUCCCUCUAAAGCAAAAUUGGAAAAAUCAGUUGGUUGACCUGUAACUUGGCUCAAGCCGAGUCAUUUUCCAAGGCUAGAGGGUCAAAAUUCUUGGUUAGAUUAAGAGAAACAUGUCUUGAUUGAAUCUACCUGAGUCUAACACGACUUGGAUAACUUAGCAAGUCAAAAACACACACACACACACAGAGCAGGGGUGCUAUCAGGUUGGCUCAGGACUUGGUCCAGGUAGAAUAAAGUUGGAACUAGGUUGGAUCAACCGAUCAAGUACAGAUAGGGUCCAGGACUUGGUUGGAUUGGAACUAGGUCCAGGCCUUAAGCGUGUAUAAUUUGGAAGGUUUAAUUCUCUUCAUGCCCUCAAAACUAUUCACUAAUAACAUAGACUCGAAAUAAUUAAUCAAUUUUAUGAAAAAUGUAUGUGAUUUAAGGUGAAAAUAUACAUUUGCAUACUGGGUAAACUAAGUCCAGAUCGGGUCCAGUUGGUUUAUAAGAGAUCAAAUCCUCACUUUACCAUAAUAUGAUCAGAUUGGGUCAACUAAAAUUAAAAUAAACCCAUACCUGAAGCCAAGAAGUUAUAUGGGUUUUCUUACCCAAAGAAGAAGAAGUUGUAUGGGUUUACCUUUGGUCCUAUACACAGAUCAGGUUCAUGCCAGUUAUGGUUCUUAGUGACAACCCUCGAUCCUUUCCUCCUAUAUAGUGAAAUGAUGCCUCUACUUGAUAGGUACGAGCUUUUCUUCUUUCCAUUAACUAAACAAGUAAAGAUGACUUCAGCAUUCAUCAAAUCAAGCAUAUACAUGUUUUACUCCCACCAAUUUUUAUGUGAUUCACAAAUGUUAAUUCUAAGAUUAUUGCAGAUGAUAAUAACUUGCAUAUAUAAUUCUAAUAUACAUAGUACAGGUGAUUUAAGUGGCUCUAUUAUUUGAACUUUAUUUUAUUUAAAAAUAACAACAUAUGUAGUGAUUUAUGCCAUUAAUCAAAUUAGAUUAUGGACAAUUCAUAUUCAUAGUCAUUCUCUCAGGCCAGAUGUGGUUCGAGGAUAGUGGAAUGGGGCUAAUGGGUCGGCUGGAAUUCUUUUGGGGAAAUUAACAAACGGUUAACUGGGUUAAAGCUAUUCCACCAUUUUGGUGGAAUAAUUUUGACCAAGUUAGCCCAGGUAGACAGGUUAGAUAAAGCAAAUAGUGGCUAAGCAAGUUUUCUGAAAUAUACAUUUUGCCCUCAUCCAGAAUGCUCUAACCCAGUGAGCAAAAGUAACAUUUGGAUGAAUAAGUGGGAUAAGAAGCCCUUACCAUGUGGUCACCCUGAAUUAAAUGGGCCCUAAUAGGUUCCAGCUAUCGCCUGAGAAUAUAAUGCAAGAAUUGAAAACUGUUGUCAAUAACCCAACAUAAACAUAGCAUGAUAACCAACUACCAAUACACAGUUCACGCUGCAAGUAUUUUUUGUGCUCUACAAGUAAAUGAGACAUGGUUGGUUGUCAUAUCAUCAAGAAAAGAUGGAGGAUAAGCAAAUAUCUGCUCCAUUUGUCAAGAAACAGACCCAUGUCACUGUUAUCAUGGAGCUUCUUGGGUGCUGUCAGCAUCAUACUAAACGAUCCAAGCAACAUAUGGAAAUGCAUGUGCUCCAACUCAAGGUGCAAAAUCAAAGUAGAAAGUAAUCCUGUGCUUUAGUUUAACAAUUUUGAUAAUUUUGGACCUGUUUUAUAGACUUAACAAGCAUGUAACACCUUAUAUUUGACCAACCCUUAAACUAUGGUUUAGAUAGCUAUAAUUAUUUAUUUGAAAUUGUACUUUGAUAUAAUGCUCUAAGUUGUCUUUUAGAAUUCUGGUAGAUCUUUUGUUAAGAUGCCAUGACUAAAGUAAUCAUUGCCAUACUCAAUAUAGAUUGUAAGUUAUCUUAAUUUAGAUUUACUUUUUACCAUAUUGUAAAUGUUCAUGAGUUCAACUCUAGAUAGGCGGAAUGAAGCUAAAGGUUGAGAACAUGAUGAGUAAAAAUUCACAACAUUUUGCCAUGCCAAAGGCAGUCUAGUGAUAUUCACUCAAAAGGAGGAAGAAGGAACAUUUUUUUUUUUUAAUCAGAAGUUAAUUUAAAAAUUAGACAGAAAGAUCAUAAGUAAUUGCAGCAUAAUCAAUACAACUAAGAAAUGAAUCAUUGCAAAGUCAAAACAGAUAGAAAGUUGGACCUACCACUCAAGCAUAAGUAUUUAACGUGAUGCAUACCUGAUUCCAAGUUGCAAGUUAAGCAUCAGAUAAUAGCUUUUGUGACCUUUGUGAAUAGCUUCACCUGGCCCUCUUGGUUGUUUUCUUCGAAUCUUAUGGUGACAUUUUUUUGUGUGUUUUACACCAGAAUCAGAACUUCUUGCUCUUUCCAUUAUUAACACUCCUUGCACAUACUCCCUUUCAUAAACCAAAACAUUGUCAUGCUGGAGCUUAUGCGGACCAUCGUCAGAUGAAGAGGACAAUGUGAGGGAACUGUCUUGUGACAAAACGCUACAAGCAGAAUCACCAAAAUUCCAAAUUCCAUCAAAUGACGUAGGCCUAUGGGAGAUUCGUCCAGAAUGACAGAAAUAACUACUUAUAUUCCAUCCAUCAAGACUGUAUCUUUUCUUAUGCAAUGGUUUAUUCCUGAGUCCUUCAGAACUCAUCAGUGAAGCAGUACAAAGACUUUGAGCUCCAUCAUUACAUACCACAGAUUCAGAAAACUUCUGCUUAGGUAGUUUGCUUCCAGCUGGAUAAAAAGUUCCUCGCCCAUCCUUUAGGCCCCUACUCCAUGUUCCAAAAUAAUAUGCCCCAUCUGCAUACUUGUAGUAACCUGAGCCAUGUUCUAAUCCAUCCAACCAAACACCAUCAAAUAAAUCACCAUUUGCCCAUUUCAUAACUCCUCUGCCAUUCAUUUUUCCAGCUUUCCAGUUUCCAAUAUAAGUGUUUCCACUACUCCAUGUAUAUCUACCAAUACCUUCUUGCAAUCCUUCCCUCCAAAGACCCUCAUAAAUAUCCGAAUUAGGAUAUGUUUUAGUUCCCAUUCCAUGCUGUAUGUUCAUCCUCCAAGACCCUUUGUAAACAGAACCACCAGGUCCAUAAAAAGUGCCAGAACCAUGAAGGAAACCUCCACAGAUGUCACCUUCGUAUGUGGCCCCAGCUGGCCAGUAAAUCCGUCCUCUGCCAGUCAUUUUGCUUUUCUCCCAUUCUCCCUCAUAAAGUGUUCCAUCUGACCAUAUAUAUUUUCCUGUCCCAUGAGGAAGUAAUCCAUCAAGGUUUCCAACAUAGACAUCACCAUUAGCAAGGACCUCCUCACAAUGCCUAGUAAAUAAACGACAAUCAGGAUCUCAACAAAGAAGAAGCAAUUAUAAGCCUAUUGACCUCAUAUUAAUAGACUGUUUUUUUGCAGGGAAGGCUACAUACAACACAUACUGAUAAAGCUGCAUAUAUAAGGAAAGAUGUGUAAGUUCACCUUUCACUGUUCUCACAGCUCCCCUCCAUACCUGUCUUGUCUUGAUGCAUGAUUAUUCAUAGAUGAGAUCAAAACAAGGAAGCAGUUCUUACACCACCUACAUAUGACAGCAACAAACCCAGAAUUCCACCAAUGAACCACUGCAAGUACAAGAACAAUGUUCAAAAUAGAAAUAAACAAAUGAAGAGGGAUAGUCAAAUUUUUAUUUCUUAAAGUUCUCGUGCAGUAGACGCUCAUCUAUGUUUUUGAUUGAACUUUUGUGGAACUAAAAGGGAAAUGUCUAUAAGAUGCAUAUAUUGUCUGUCCUGAUUGUGGGUAUAGGCAGAGGUUUGCAGAUGACUUAGGGCUCAGUUUUCAACAUAAGCAACUGCACAUAUACAUGUGCCUGAUUUGACCAGCCAAAACGACCACUAUUUGGGGGGAAAAAGAAGAAAGGGUUAAUCAACUGAAAGCUACGGCAAUUUAAGUGACAAUUUUACAUGGUUGAGUAAAAUAAAGUCCCUUUAUGUUUAACCAUUUACAAAGAGGACAUUUGGAUGCACUACCAUGGUGUCCCUAUAAUAUCCUAUAAUAUUAUAGAUGGGAAACAUAUAUUUAACCCUUCAUCCAAUGGAAUAUAAAGUAGGAGGUCUGGAGAGGACGUUGAAACUUCAAUCCCAAGAUUUUUCCAUACAUCAUAACCCAUUUUUUAUUAAGCAUGAUAUCCUAUUUAUGGUUGUGGUAGCAGAGUCCAACUCCAACUCGAUAAGAUGAAAGCUACCUCCUCUAUGAUAUGAUUCAAGGUCACUCCCUACAUAUACAUGAUAUCUCACAGAUAUCACAGUUGAGCAUUUACACACUUCCUUACCCUUCUCAUUAGGCAUAGUUUCUUUCCUCUAGGAGAAAUUCUAAACACAUAGAGGCUAAUAUCAUCUUGGCACUCCAUCAAGGGAGCAGUAAGUAAAAAAAGGAAAAAGAGAAUACAAUAUUCUAUAAAAGCCAUUCCAAUCUAGAGCAUCCUCUUCCAAUAAAUUAUCAGGCUUUUCAUUGUCUACAAUUUUCCCAUUCAUAUGUUUCAGUCUCAUAGUUCGCACAUUGAAGAAAAUGACAUGAUCCAAUAAAUUGCCAGAGUUAACAGAUUCAUCAUCAUAUCCACCACCAGCCUCCACCGGAGAAACGUGCGUCGUAUUCGAACUAGUAAUUCUUCUUCUCAAUACAAUUGCUCUAGCACGCAUUCACCAAGACAUUAUCCAACCACAGAUGAAACGCAACAACACUGACAUAUUACGAAAACAGAUCUCUAUAACUACUAAACAAAAGACGAAGAAGAACAAAAAGAUCGUUUCCUCCAAUCAAACCCUAAAGCACCAAUUCCUACACUACCUUCUCCCAACAAAUGAUACACCCAUCCAAUCUUCAUCAAUUUGCGCCCGCCCCUACGGGCACGAGGCAGUCGAAGCUUCGAUUUUAACCAAACUCCCUAAAAUUUAUGCAUUGAUGCUAAAUAUUCUCCAACUCAAGAACUCAGAGAGACCGUCAAAUUUAAACAAUUCCAAAAGAAAUAAAGCGAACGUACCUGUUUGCAGCCUCGCAGCAGCUCAGAAACAAAUCCAACGCCGACCCUUUUGUGGACGCUACCUCCGAGAUAAAUCAAUACCUACAAGUUUAUUAAAAUUAGAAGCAUUGAGAUUCCACUAGAUAGAGGUCUUGAAGUGGAUAGCUGUCGCUGUUCCCCGCCGAGAGAGAGAAAGAACGAUUCCCUGAGAAGCAGGGAAGGAGGAAGGGCGAGGAGUGGAGAGGAGAGGGUGGUGGCGGUGGAGCUGAGAUCACGUCACCGACCAGAGCGAGACUUUUCGGGCUUCAAUCGGUUCGGAUUUAAAUAUAAGGCGUUGGCCCGUCUGGUGAUCCCCACGUCGGAUUCCAACUCUCGUUUUUAUUUUCCUCCUUCCUUGCAGUAGUUUUGUCCGUUUCAACCACUUCAGUCCUCUUUCCUUCUCUCUUUCGGUUGGUGCCUUCCCACUACUCCCUUUAUUCCGUUCACCCGAUCUCGUCAUCUUCCCUCUUUUAUCUUGUUGUAGCCUGGCUUCUUUAUUGUUAUUAUUAUAGAAAAGUAUUCGUGAAACUUUUAUCGUCAGUGCGGUGCGAAUUGGGUACUCGUGGGGGAGAAGGAAGCUUUUACUUUUAAUCAGGCAGCAAAGCGCAAGGUCAGUGGAUCACUCUAUGACACUUAACGAGACUUGGUGCUUCUCACCUUUUUUUUUCCCUGGGUUUGGUUCGUUUUCUCCCAACUUGUUUCCCAUUUGGUCGUUUUCGAGCUAGCCGAGCUGCAAAAGACACCGGAGGCGGAGAAGUUAAAGAGGCAAAUCUGGAUAAAAUUUGCGUAUGACGGUAUUCGUUCAACUUUUUGAUCCUUACGUUGUCUUUUCGCAACGAGAAGGAUACCCGUAGACAUUACCGUACAUAAAAGUUUGCUGUGCUCUUCGUUCUUCGCCAACGCAAUAUUUAAUCGUUCUUAUAUAUUAUAUAAAAACUUGCACUAACUUUCCACCACUUUAACGCCACAUGGCAUGAAAAAAAAAAUGUUAAAUGCCCCGAGCCUUACUCUUGGAGGAGUUUGCUAUUUGUGAUGCCAUCAUAAUGUCAUAGUUAAUGAUGAUUUCUUUUUUUUCAUUCAAAAUUUUGAACUAAAUUUAGAUAAUAAUAAUUAUUUUUUCAUUCAAAAUCCUAAUAAUAAUUUUUAUUGAAUUUUUUAAUCAAAAUAAAUGGUAUGAUGAUUUUUUAUUAGAUGAUCUAAAGUGAACAGUUUUAAUCAAUAAUUUUUCUUGUUUAACCCCAAUAAAAGAGAGCACUUGAAGGUCUAAAAAGAUCCUACUUAUAUAUGUGGCAAAGUAUAGAUUAAUAUAAUGCAUGAAAUUUAAUUCAAUAAAGCGUAUGAUGUUAACAACUCGAGAUGGAGCAUCUAAUUUCCUGUGUUGGAUAUUGAUUGCAAGACUUUAAAACAGAUUUGCUUGCUAAAAAUAAUGCAAACUCAAGUGCUAGUUUUUUUAUCUUCUAUCCAAAUCUAGUUCAAAGAUAAGAUUCUGAUGCCCUGACCACUGCCAUAUUGUUAUUUGUGGAGCUGUCAACUCAAACAUAACCUAGUAGUAGAUUGUCUAAAGAGGCGAAUAUUUUUUUUAUUUUUGAUUUUGAAAAAAGGUGAAUGUUUACAUGGUAAGCCGUCUGCUCUACAACAUAGAUGGCAGGCACUUAGAGCUCGAUGAGACCUUAGUUGGUUUUUUUUCCGGUAUUGGAUCUUUGCAUGGACCGUAAUUGUAGAACCAACAAACCUGUCAUGAAACUUACAGACACCAGGGAAUUGGACAGCCUGUUCUGUCCCCCAAAAAAAACAAAAAAUGCUGCUACUCCGGAAAAGUAAAUAUUUUGUUCAAGUAGAUGGAUAUUUUACGGGUAGGCGGCACUCCAAAAAGGGCACGCACUUGUAUCGUUGACUGCAAAGCAAAUGGGCCCACGCCAGCAAAUAGCAGCAUCGGCCGCCGAUCGAAUCAUGGACCAGGACCACCGGUCCCCUGUUCCCCUCCUUGGCUUCCACCCUGGAACUCAAUAAUAAGAGCACCAUACCACGGUUUAAUUCCUCUAUCUAAAACAGCGGCCACGGUGCAACAGCCAUGAUAACGAUUCGGGGACACUCGGUUAAGUCUAUAUUGUAUAUCAUUAUACCGUGCAUCAGGUUAAGAGUAAUGCUGUGUGGCUCUUCCUAUAUACACGUAACUCAUUUUCUUGCCAGGUGGUAAAACGGAAAUAGUGUAAUUUGAGAAUUUAUUACCCAACACAAUAGGUUGGUUAAUUAUAGAGUAGCCAAAUUAGCAGUUGUAAAAGUGAUGAACUUUUAAUAUUCAAAUAAUGGGCAAGGUAUCUGGUUACUGAAUAGAAAUUGUUCGGUCACUGUUAUGUAACACAACAGAAACAACUUCUAAUUUUUCUAUUGUUCAAUAAAGUAAAAUCUAUUUUUUUUAUUCCCAUCGUAUCCAACCUCCAGAACUCGAAAGAACUGUUAUUUUUUGAGCUCCAUCAUUGUCCUGCACAUCCUUUUAUAAUGGCUGAUAAUGGCCAUUAUGAUGGCCAUUAUUUUACUUGAACGUAUCCAGAAAUAUGUCACCCUCUCACACUCUCUCGCAACAUGAAGAUAGGCUGUCCAGGCUAAAGAAAAUGCAGCCAAAAACAUCCACGCUACCAACAUGAUGUGCUGCUCACCAUAGUGACAUGAAGAUCUCUCAUUCAAGAAGGUGGAGCCCUUGAAUCCAAUGGGACAUCCACAGUGUUGCAUCCGUCCUAAUCAAUGGGGUCUUCUGGAUGGAUGCUUCAAGACAACAUGGUCCUGAAAGGCUUCCGGGUUUCAUCGUUUGUGCCACACUAGCGGAAAAAGCGAGACAUCAAGAAACCCGCCCAUGCCUUCAGAUAGCUCCAUUGCUGCCGGCCAUGAGAAAAUUGGACCUGGGAGGUCUAGAUUCACCAGAAACAAAAAAGCGAGACAUUAAGAAGCCAGUCCGUGCCUUCAGAUAGCUCCACUGCUGCCGGCCAUGAGAAAAUUGGACCUGGGAGGUCUAGAUUCACCAGAAACACCAAGCAUUGCACGGAUCACAUCCACAGAAAGCAAAAAUUUACCUCCAUUGCAGGGCUGAGCGGAGUGGAUAUUAGAGUUGAAUUCACGUCAUAAAGCAAGAGGAUGGUAGAAACUUGAAACACUUGGUGCACUCAAAAAGGGAACACGAAUCAAAACAAAAAUCACAACCUAUCAUCCAUUAUGAUAGCCUGCAUGGUAGCUAACAAGCACUUUCUGUAACGUUUAUGCUAUGAGUAAACUUUGCGUUCAAACUCUUCUGUAGCACCGGCUCAGAGUGUAGACACCCAUUUAGAACUCUCACGUUUUUUAAGAAGAUCAUCAGUAAUGAUAAAAUUUGAUACCAGAACCAAGAAUUAACUCCAACUCAUGCAACCCAAACUCUGAGAUGCUCCCACCUUGAACAAAUGCUUUUCCACGGACAUGGGUGGUAGGGUGUUUAGGGAAGGAUCAAGAUUAUAAGAUGCGGAACUUUGGUGAUUAUUUCAAUGCAUAUGUCAAUAUGGCACAUUUAAAUAAACUUGUAAUUUCUGAAGUAAAGAGCACUCUGAAUACUCUUCACUAAAAUCUUGGGUCUUAACAAGAGUUCUUAAGAACCGACGUGAUGGCAGAACUCUAGACAGCAAUAGAAUGCAUAGCACAAGGCUCCAUACAAGUGAACUCUUGUAAAAGAAACUAGGAAUGCAAAGCAGCAGCAAAGCAAAAGAAAAUAUGAGAUAUACGAUUUAAUGGAAAUCUUACAACAAUAGUUCACAAGUUGCUUGAUAAAUUUAUAACUAAGCGGGAAACAAGACGCAUCUCAUUCACUUUAUUCCCGUGACAGGUACCGGCCCAACAAAGACCCAUUAUAGAAAUUUCACUUAAAACACAAGUGCAAAACAUUUUUGGCAAUCUAUUACUUCAAACCAAUUGCAAACGACAACUUGGGACGAGACUUGUUCUUACCCAGCAGCUUUAACUGGUUUGUCUUUUCUUCUUCUUCUUCCAUUUUUUUUCUUCGCAUAGCUUCUUCCCUUUCUUUCUGGAGCCGCUCUAGCUCCUGAUAACGCUCUAACUCCUUCUGCUGCUGUUCCAAGGCUUCUCUCCUUUGAGCCUCCUCCACCCUCCUCCGAUUCUCCUCAAGCAUCUUAUCCAACUCCUCCCUCUCUCUCCGUUCUUGUUCCUGCAAGCCCCAAUCAAAGCACAUCCAACAACCAAAUGACAAGUUUAGAGAAAGAAGAAAGCAGCUUCUGAAGAAGCUAGUCAAUCCAUAAAAAAAAAUUACAUGAACUAUUAAUUUUUCAGAUCACAAGAUACAAAGCCUAAUAUUCUGUUAUCAAUAUUUGUAUAUAGAUAUAAGAAUUAAAACAUGUGCAUGCGGACCAAGAGCAAGCAGGAACUAAUUUAGAGGCAUGCACAAAUUAACACAUGUGCCAGCUGAUUACAACUUAUUCAGAGCCUGUAUAAAGUUGAUAUAUGCAUUUCACGCCCACCAAAUAUUCUAACAAAGAUCAUUACAAAAUUUAAAGUGUGUUUAUAUGUAAAGUCAGGAAGUGCACAACCAAGGUUAAGUUCAUACAAAAUACUUACCGCUUUCUGCCUGGCUUCAAUAAGAACUGCUUCCUUUUCCUUCUGAAGUUGGGUGGCAACCUCAUCCAGUAGCUUCUUUCGACCUUCAUCAAUCCGUCUUUGUAUUUCUUGCUUGAUCUCCUCAGAAUUCAAACUUUCUUCAACCUUUUUCCUAAUAGCCUCUUCAAUCCUCCUAGCAGUUUCCUCUUCUAAUAGUUUUAGUUCUGCCUCCUUUUGACGCCUGUUAGGACAAGCCACAUGUUAGACAAAGAACUGCCCUUCACUAAAUUAAUGCUGACAUAAAUGUGGAAACAUAUCAUUGAGGCCAGAUGAAGAGCCAUACUAUAUCAGCAAACAGUAUGAUGAGCUUUGAUUAUCAUGACCAGCUAAGCCUUCCUUUCCAUCAUCAUAAUAUUAAAUACAAGCUUAUGCAUUUCAGGCAUACCUCUAAAGAUUCCACAUCCAAACAAAUGAGUUUUCAAACUGGAGAACAGUAGAUAAAGGAGGCACCAAGUGCAUCAUCAAUAUAUAACAAGUUGAACUAUAGCAGUAGCCUCCUUCAGAAAAGCCAGUGGAGAAGAAUGUCAAGUAACCUGUGGCAGGUUUAAAACUAAUCAUUUAAACACUUCAAUUCUCACAUUAAAGCACAGUUCUCGCACUAUCAAAUUCUAACUAAAAUGCAAAGCACAGACAACUGGAUGUGGCAUCUGCUUGCUUGUGGCACAAAAUGAUGAUAGCUAAAAAUGUCAGCUGUUUACUACAUAUGACAGGAAAACAAGAACCACUGUCCCAGUGACACUGAACAAUUCUAUCAUAUCACUAUCUACAGGCAGCCAAAAACUAAAUUCUGAACUGCCCCAACAACACAUAGACAAGCAACUUAUAAUUUCAUAAUAUGAUUGUUCAGGAGUAACUCUUGUUCCAGUUUAACUGUUUGUCAAACCCCCACCCAGCAAUGCAUUUCCCUCUUACUUAACAUAAAAUGUGUAGUUUGAAAGGACAAAAUUUAGUCCCUGAAGCAACGCAUUUUAGAAGCUUAAACUCAGUUAAGGUUUUCUACUUGUGAAAUGUUAACCAACAACAGUCCAAAUAAUUAUUUCAUGUGUUUCAAUGCAAGCAUUUCCACACAAAUAAAGAUGACACAUCGCCAAAUUACUUGUCUUUCCCAAAUGAUGCAAAGACAUUACUUCCCAUUCUUCCUUGCAGUCUCUCAGGUUUACUGGCACCUGAUUUCAGGUCUCUUUACUCUUCAUCUAUCCUGCAGUAAUAAAUGAUAUGCAUGCAGUUGAAUGGGUUCUUAAAAUAGGAGGUCCAACAAGAAAUUAGAAUAAACCUCAUUUCUUGGGAUCACCAAUAGGUAAGCUCCUUUAUUCCCACUUCACAGUUUUGUUUUUUCGUCAUUAUCCUCUACCACUCCUGAUUAGAAAGCUCCAGUCCAAUUGCUUCUUUGCCAAGACAAGCCCACCCUUACUAAUAUCUCCAUACUAUUGCAAGUAAUAUGAGAAAUCACUUGACCAAUGUCAUCGAUAAUGACCUACAAGAAACCCCCAUAGCACUUGUGCAGCACCUGUUUGCAUAAAAGGAUUUCUUAAAAAUUUAGUUAGACAAUGCAUGUCAAAAACAGCUGCUUUCUGAUUUUGCCUAGUUCUACAUGGAAUCAGCAGAUUUUAUAAACCAAAAGGUGCACCCCAGACCUGAACCAAAAAAUAUAUCCGAGUCCAUAAUUCCCAUUACAAAUUGUGAUAGUUUAACCAAUUGCAAAAGCAAAAAAGUUUUAGGAAUAUGCAAGACUUUGUACAGAGAUCUAUCAAGAUCCAUUAAGAAAAGAAUUUACCAAAACCCCAAAUUAUUAGUGCACCUGAUAUACCUUUCAAAAGCUUUCUUUAGCAAUAUCUAAAGAAGGGAUAACUGCUAAUUAGAAAAUACACAUGAUGAUCAAUGCUCCCAAAUCCUUGCAACUUAGAAAACUCAUUAAUCAAGAAUUUGAACGAAACUGCCAUCAUGGUUGACGACUACACGACCGCCAAGAAAGAAUGUACUGGUGAAACAAUAUGGACCGCUGUACAAACAGUUCGGCUUAUGAAAUUAUUAAUAAACCAAGCUCUUGUUCCAUUCUUUGUCCAGUUUCCAACCAAACAGUUGGAAAGUAUUUAUUCUUAGGACUCUGUAAAUGAAUAAACCAAUGCAAGGUAGGAUACAUAGAAACAGCUUAAAGUAACAGGGUAAACCAAACCAAGAGUCAAUUUUAAGUUCAUUAUUGAUGGACAAUGUACUCUGCCCUGACAUAGCAUUUCUUUCUUUUUUUUUGAUAGGUCAUAGUGUUUCUUUCUUUUACAGGGCAAGCCAGAGGCCUGAUCUGAAAGUGUAAGAACCAGGCUAGAUGCGGCUUAAUAUCUGGAUCAUUGGCACCCCCAGUAUAAUCUCUUAUUAACUGUUUAGGUUCACAAGUUAUUCAAUUACGUCAAAGUUGUAAUUAGCAUUAUGGCGAUCUUUGGGGUUGCAAUGCUAAAAGACUUCACCACAAAUUACAGUGUCUUGUUUCCAGGGUUCAGAUGCAGUUAAACUUUUUUUGCAUGUCAUAUCUCCUCUGUACACUUCCACCAUCGAAGACAUAAGUUGCCAUUGUCAGACUUUCUGCUAACAAUUACAACCAGGACUUCACAACCUCAAAAUUAAGACCUCAUGAAUUCCUUCCUUAGCAAGAGGUGAAUACCAAUCUAUUUCCAAUGAUAGCAGCAGUGAACAAUGCCUUUAUGAUUAAUUGAGCACCUACUGCAGUUGCAGUAAUGAGGCAGGGGGAGGAGGGCUAAUGCAGUCUGUUAACUGGAAGGGCUUGCAAAGUGAUGGCCAAUAGAAAAGGACAACAGCUAGAGGGAGAAUGAAUUGACAAAUAAUGGAGACUGAAGAAGAAAUAACAUAACAUACAGAUUUCCAUAGACAACCAUAGUCAAGGUUCGCCAAACCGGUGCCAGAGGGGAUACCGGCUAGCAGCUAGUUGGGCACGGUAUGGGUCUGUACCAUGAUAUUCCAGGGCAAAUACCGAAAUAGAAAGAGUCGAAGAGGGAGGGGGAGAGGCUUGAAAGCCUUUUAGGGGAGAGAGAGGGAAAGGGAAGCUUAAUGGUGAUGCUAGUGGUAGAGGGGGACAUGGGGGGUUUUAAUCAAAUGGUCAAGCCAGAGGGCCUUUUAACCAAGCUAACCAAAUUAGAGCCAGUUCAACCUAUUUACCAAGCCGACAAGGCAAACCAUUCUGGCUCCCCGUCUGUUUGGUUCAAUACGCACUAAACCAGGCGAUACAACCAACCAUGACCCUAGUUAAUGAAAACAACUUACCAAAAGCACAUUAGAGUUGAGAUUCAUUCAGAAACAAAAAACACAAAUAAUCCAACAAAUAAAUUCAUGAAAUUGAUUGAAAAAAGUAGAAAAUUUACUGGAGCAAAGCUAUCAGGGUGCAUAAGUGACAUGAACAUAAUAGGAAAAAUCAUAUCCAAACAAUUUUUAAUUGGAUCAAUCAAAGAGGUCAUUUGGCUGGUAAAAACCACCAAAGGCUCAAAAUAAAAACCUAAAACCACUUUUGAGUAUUCAUCACCAUAUCUACAUCUUUGAUAAUAUUUACAUUGCAGAUGGCUGAAAAUAGUGCUGCGGCCACAAUCACGGAGGCAAGAUGGACAAAGAGAGUAGAGCUUUAUAAAGUAUAAUCAUAAAUUAAAGCAAAACUUCAAACAGCAUUCUAGAAAAACUAAUCAAAACCGAGUACCAUGGUCAUUUAUGAUAUGUCACCAGACUCUACCAGACAUACCACACUAUAAAGGGAAUAUCCAAAGAACCAAACUCGGGGAAGAACCUUAACCAUAGACAAUGUGCUUUUAUCAUAACAGGUCACCAGAAGUGCAACAUUGAGCUCACAAAGAGUUUCGAGUUCUAGUAAUUAGUAAAAUAAAUGGCAAAAAUUAGAAUUAGGACUUAAUGCAAUCUAUCGAUCAUCAAAGCAAUAUCCCAAAAUACAAAAUAGGCCAAAGGAGAUGUAGUCAAACACUAUACCUUCCAAUAAUUGUACUAUUCUUUGUAUAUGUUUAAUAUGGCUCAUAUUUGAGCCAAACAGGACUUGACCAGUCAGCCUGAGGUUGGAUAGCUUUGGGUAGCAGUGACCAAGCAGACAAGCUGAGGACUUUUUUUCUUCAGAUUAUGGUUGAGGAAAGGAGCUCUAGGUAUCAAACUAAAGUCAGCGAAAAUUGAAAAGUGAUGCUCAAUUCACAAUUUAGUUUCCCUUUUAAAAUCAAUGUCUUUACUAAAAUUUCAAGGCAGAUGACAAGCACCCUGCCUUCGGUGGGGCAGUCCCCUUGAUGCCUUUUCCAGUGCAUAAAGAGGCCUAACACACUUAAGCAGCUGCCUAGACAACCUGCUCAACUUAUGUUGUGUGCGGGAUACCCUGACCAGGCAGGUCAAGCAUGAAUAAGCACUACGGCAGAUUGAGCACAGUAACUAAAGGAAGCACAGGGCUUAGGUGGGCUACAGAUAGUCAGGGUGUGGAAUCUUGUUGGUUGGGCAUGGGUAGAAUUAUGUUGUUUCUUAUUGUUGCCAGCUUCUUUCUAGGGUGGCUUCAUAGAGUUCAUAGAUUUGAAACCUUCUAAGAUUUCUAUUUGUAACAGCAAAUUCACAACGCCUUGUUCUUAUUUUCAGACUACUGUUAUUAUGAGGCUUUGAAAUGCUUACACAUCCUCUGCCUUCCAAAUAAAUAUGAAGAUAUCUAUGUUCCACAUGGCGGAACAGAAUGUUACAUAGCAUCAAAAAUUGCUUGUUGGUGUGAUUCCUAAAUCAAAGCUGACCAAUAAAUGACCACCAUGAGGCCACUACACCACCCAAAUCAAGCCGAAUCAGGCCCUAACUAACCUGGUCAGAACCAACCUAACAGAGCUCGCCACUUGGCCCCUCACUCCACAGGCAGUUAAGAACCGACCAACAGAAGGCCGUUCCAGCUUGGUCCACUACUCAAUAUCUUCAUGUUAAGAUUGAAAGUCAAACAGUUGAGAUCCAAGAUUAGUUGAGAUUCUCCUCCGACGAACUCUCAACAGACACUAAUGGACUCUCAAUGGAUACUAGGCGAGCUCCAUAUAAAAAUAAGACUACCUGAGGAACCUCCAAAUAUGCUGAUCUAACACCUGAUCUAUCACUCACUCAUCUCUCUCUCUCUCUGAUCUCCUUUGCUUCCCUGGAAUCCCUGUCUAACAGGCAUCAAAGGGUACCCCACCUGACACACUCCGGUAAGUGGAUUUCUUCUUCUUUGUUUCAGGUCAGAUACGAUGUCAGAAUCCUAAUCCGAGAACGGCCAUCCCCAUCUAGCUCUUCUUCCUCAAGCUCGAAGGUCAGCCACGAGCUUGAGCCAACCUCACUGAUCUGGUCAGACGCUUCAUCAAUCUCACUAGCUCGGUGCCAAGUGUUAGGCCAGAUUUCAGUCACGACAAUUGGUAUAGCAUUAAUUGCUCAUGUAUAAUAGUAGCAAUGGCAGUAUAGUCAACUUUAUUAUGUGAAACCACAAACAAACUGAAUUUUCUAUAUACCCCACGUAUAUCCUCCACAUGCUUCAAAGCUACUUCAAGCACCUUUUCUUGAGCUCGGGCAAUUAAAAAAUGCAAUCAAUAUCAAUUAAGUUAAAAUCAUUUCAAGCCUACAAUCGAAUGCUUACACAACUUCAGCAUAUAUAUGCGUGCAGGAGGCAAGCAUAGAAAGCUGAAAAUGAAACUUGCUCAUAUAACACAGCAAGCAUCUACUAUCAUCAUCUCACUUUUAUGUUUCAAAAAAAGAUAGUGAUUAACUCAUUGGUUCCAUGCACAAUCAAUUACUUCAUGAGAAACUCAAAAAGAUCAAAAAUUGAGGCCAUUCUCAACAAAUUUUUGGAACUACAUGACCACAAGGCAGCAAAACAGAUAAACAAAUAUGAAUAGAUCUUUCGCAUUCAACAGUUCAGACAUAAACAACUGUCACCUCAAGUAUGUGCACACAUAGAUGGGACACACAUUGUGCAUUCACCAUCACCUAUAACUUUUGCUGCCAAAGACAAAGUUAAGGUUUAACUUAUAACUUAUCUCAGAUAGCCAAAGUCUGACAGAAAGUUGAAAACUGUUGGGAAACAUAAAUGCCGAGAAGACAUGCACAUUAGGAAGAUAUGGGACAUGGAAUAUAAGUGGGGAACUUUAACUAGACUCAGGAACUUUUUUAAAAUUAUUAGGAAUAAAUUUCAGAAAACAAUUUUUGAGAAUCUUAAGUUCAAAAAAGUUUUGUAACUUUCAAUCACAAAAAAGAAGACAAUUUAAUCAUAGUCCACUCAUAGAUGAUUUUUAUAAAUGGGUGAAGUGUUAGGAGGGGCCACUUAAGAUAUUAAGAAAUUUCACUUAAAACUUAAAAGUUAUAAAUUUCACUUACUGACUGAUUCCUUAUUUCUAAUUUUGUAUUGAUAGUCCUCCAAAAAUAUAGGCUUGUUGUUUUAGCUUAAAUUUUAGAGCAUAUAUUUUUUAGAUGCUCUUUUUCUUUUGGAUGGACAAGAGGUGCAGAGCCCAAAUGCACCCGUUCAAACUAUACCCCGUGCACAUCAGCAACAAUACAGUCCCAAAGAUCAGAGGGAAUAGAUGAUACAUUUACAUUAUGGAUAAUAUGUAGGAAAAAUCUGCUGUGUUACUAACUAAGAUGAUCUCUUACAAAAAAAUGUCUUAAAUAUUUCAUCAUCAUUUUAGUGAUUUUCCAUUUUAUCUUUUUUUGGUUAUUUUCACAUACAUAUAGAUCACUUGUAUUUGUUUUAAAAUUAUUUUGCAGCAAUCUGCCUAGCUGAUUGCUUGUAUCAGCAUCCAUCUGAGCACUGUGCAGUCCCCUAACGACCUUUUAAAUCCUUAAAAGUGCUACUCAAAACUGUCUGACUUUUUGUUCCAGUCAACCAAAAUUAGAUACAUAGUUUAACAUUUUUCUCCCCUUUGAUCUAUUUUUCCUUUUUGAAACUUUUUGCUCCAAUAAAAGGAGGAUGAACCUGAAAACUGCAUCUAGAUGGAAUUCAGUAUGGUAAUAGUCUUGGCAAAAAAAAAAAAAAAAAAUCACAAACUUUUCAAUUCAUGUUAGAUUAAAUAUGAUGAGAUAAUUCAUCCCUCAGCCAAAACCAUCCCAUCCCUCGACAUCUCAUCUAGAAAUCAGAUCAAGCCACUGAUCAUGGAAGCAGAACACAAAAACUUACAUGUUAAAGAACUAUUGCUGAACUUGAGAUAAUGCUAAGAAACCAUGCAAGUUCAAACAACUGAACAUUGCACAAUAAUUAUAUAAAUGAAAUGUUUCCACAAAACUACAAAAAAAAGGAGUGGGAUAAAAGAACAUGCAUAUUCAAAUGCAAAUGCUAUAAAAGCAGCACAGGUAUCAGUUCCAUAAGAUUUUUUAUAUUCCAAUAAAUGAUUAUUAGUGACACAUAUGUGUCUUGCUGUUUCACAAAUUAUGAUAGCAGGCUUGAAAAUUAGUUCAGGAUCAGUUUAACAUUAAUCAUGAUUUCCUAAUCAAGAAAGCAAUAAAUAUACCCUACAGCCAAAGCCAUGGAAGCAUAAACUCCUGAAAAUAUUGGUAUUUUGACCAAAUUAAUGGAUUUUCUUUAAGUUAAAACUGAUUCAACAUAAUACAUUAAGGGGGUGUUUGGUUCGCAACUGAAAUCGGAAUGGGAAUAGAAAUCGGAAUGGCUUGGAAUCAGAAUCGGAAUGGUCAAAUCUUCCGAAGCGUUUGGUUCGUGACUGGAAUUGAAAUCAAAAUCGGAAUCGGAAUGUUAUUUGAAUCUAUAGAGGAGAGUAGGGAUUGAGUUCUAUAUAGAUUGAGCCAUUUUCAUUCCACCCCGAAAUCGGAAUCGGAAUCGGAAUGGGACUCUUCCCAACCAAAUGGUUGGAAUGGGAGUGAGUCACCCAUUCCAAUUCCGAUUCCAGACCCCCAAUCCCCCCAACCAAACACCCCCUAACUGUUUAUUUGGUCAAUAACCACAACCAGCAACCAAGGUCCAUAAUCAUAAUAAAAAGGCUUGUCCUAUUUAAAAAAAAUCAUCAGAUGCAAUUGGAAAAGGAAAAAAAUCAUUGAGCAGGAAAGCAUCAAGGCCAAUAUUAUCAUUGCAGUGACCACCAAUCACUUGUUGCUUACAAUCCAGCCACUGAGAGAAUUUUCAAGUUCCAUUGGAAAUCCUACAUCACUUUCUAACAAUUAUAGAGUGUGAAUCCUUGGUAGUUAGAUUUCAUAUACCACUAUUCACAAAAUGUAAAGUAACAUAAAUUUAGUUUGUUACAAACAUGAAUGGCUGGACGCAAGUGUCACCGUACCGACAAGGUUAUGGAUGUCAUAAUAGCACCACAAAAACUAUUGUUGACCAUGUUAGGAAAAGGAAUACAUAUGAAUUUUAGGACAAUAUGUUUCAUAAAGAGAGUGCAUGACCAGCAAUAUUAAGAGCACAGAUAGCAGAAGAAACUUACCAAAUAAUAACUAUCAUGAAGAUUUGAGCAGAAAAUGCCAACAAAAAAAAGAGCAUAAGUGUUUACCUUCUCUUCUCUUCUUCUUCUUUUCUUUGUUUCUCAAUGGAAUUUUUGCGCUCUACUGACCCAAGACUGGGGCUUCGAGACUUGUCUACAGGGGACUUUGUGGUGCUCUUGCUUCGUCGUUUGUAUCUCCUUGGAGAUGGAGAACGACUUUUGCGCCUCCUAGGGGUUGGCGAACGGCUUUUACGCCAUCUUGUGGAAGGAGAACGACUUUUUCUCCUAAAAGAACGAAAUGAUACAUUAUCAGGAAACAAUGUAAAGAAUCUUGAAGCAUAUGAUAUAAUGAAAUCUUAGUUCAACUACAAGAUAGUAAUACUAGACUAUUGGAAUUCCAAUAUAUCAGAUACAGUUACCUCAAGCAUUGUUAAGAAUUAUCUGUGUAUGCUCCAUCUUUUACCAAAACACUCUUGUAAGUCCAAAUCAAGCAACCAAAGGAUAACUAUGAGCACUCACCACCUGCUUUCAUGUAUCAUUUCUUUUCUUUUUUACAGUGAAAACAUAAAAUCUUAUAAAAUUUUAAUUUUUACAGAAUGUAUCAUCUAGAAUGAAUUGCAUUUGCAACUUUGAGAAGGUAAACCUCCUGUUCCAAUUUAAUCCCACAAUUAAACAUAUAUGGUUAACCAAACAUCAAAGGUUCCUUAAUCUGAUGCACUGUUAGAAGACCUACAGAAUUGUUGGCAUUGUCAAAGUGGGACAAUAGAAAUUAUAGCCACGGACAAAGUGAACCACCCUGAAACUGAAGCAUGAUUGCUACUGAAUAAAUUGCAUAGCUACUCUCUGCAAGACCCUCAAUCCAGGUAUUAUAUCAUAGCAUUUAAAAUCAGACACUACAACUAUAAUUUACUCAAAAGCAAAAGAGAAUACUGCAUAACAUAUAUAAAACAAACUCCAUGAGAACAGACCAACACAAUCCAUAAGUAAAGCAUGAUUAUCAUAUUAAAACUCCUGCAUAUGUAAUAGGCUGGAAAUCAAAAACAUGCAGCUAAUUAUUGUGAACCUCCUUGAGGGCACCAUCUAGAAUCUCAUUCUUCCACAUGGAAGAGGUAGGAACCAUCAAACCAGGAUGAAUAAACCACAAAGGGGUAAUCAAUUUAUAAUCCUUUUUUGUCCCAUAUUCAAAUUUCUGGUUCUUAUUUAAUUAAUUUUAUUAUUUCAAAGUUGAUAGAUCAAGUUUGGCAAGAUUACUAUUAAUAAAAAAAAUAUUUAUGUAAGCAUUAUCAUUAUUUUCAUCCCAUCCUUUUUCCUCCAUUAAAAAUGUGUUGCCUCUUGUUGUAUAUAAAUAAUAAUUCCAACUGGAUUGUUAUUAAGAAGACAAGUUUUCUUAAUUAUGUCCAUUUUCAUUAGGAUAUUAUUUUUUCUUUAUGAGAGUCUUGUGCCUCUUUUUAUAUGUAGAAUGAUGACAAUGACAAUGAAAACAAUGGUAAUUGAGCUAUUAAGCAGGGAUAUUAUCUUAGAACCUUCAGCAUCAACCAUCUAAAGUGCAGCAAAUGAUCUUACGGAGGCACUAAACUGAUUAUUUUGAUACAGAUAAAAUUCAUGACAAUUGUAUAUAAGAUUAAGGAAAAAAAAGAAGCACACUCGAUUGGAAGAGAAAGUCAAUUCAGAAAAUAUCAUUCUGAGAAGAGAUCCACAACCAUAAUUUUCAAAUAAAAAAGUUCAGAAAGAUGAUUUAUUGUUCCCCUUGAGCAAGAUUUCUUAUCCUCCUUGGAUAGUAAGUGACCACAUAAGAAUGUAUUGAUCCAGGUUACUCAAGGUAAAGAGAAAAGCAACUUAAGAACCGGUGCAGACUAUUCAGCACAGAGCUGGUCAAUAUAAAAAUAAUGUGAAACCAGUAAAUUUUCUGUCUCCAUUAGACCCCGUCGAAGGAAUGAUUGCAACUUCAAGAUCUCAUUCAAAGAAAUUAAAAGGGCUCUAUUGCAGCAAACAAUUAUCAGAAUAUGCCUAUGAACAAUCAUAAACCAAACGACCCGUAAUCAUCACAUUAAUAUAAUCAAUACAGAAAUGCUUCGUGCCAUUAUAACCAGUUUUUUAAACCAUCAUGUGUCUACAGAGUGCUCUUCAAAAUUAUUACCAUUUUCUUUCAGAGAAAUUCAUUUGAAGUGUUCAAGCACCAGUUCAAGCCAUAACCACUACAUUUAUAGAGAUAAUUUUUUAUGUUUAACAGGAAACCUCAUUGCCAUUUAUAAAAACCAAAAAUAGCCACUAUUUUCCAUCCCUGACUGCAAGCAGAUACCAUAUACAACUCAAAGAAUGGAAGACUGCAGCCUGGUAAAACCUUCAAACGAUUGAGCAAUCAGUCUUACAUGCGGGUUGAUGCUUCAACAGGAAGAAACAAAAUUUGCUUUCAUUCGGUCUUCCUUCUUACAAUGUAUUCUUAUGAAGGAGAAGCAGAAAGGUACGCACAGAUAUAGUAGUUUACAAGCUGGAAUCUCUUGAAACAAGAUGCAUUAGAAAAAGGGAAAUUUAUAUCUAAUAAAGAGAAAAGACUACGAUGAGGCUCUGUGAUAUCAAGCGAGAUCACCUAUAUGAAUAAGGAGAGCGGCUGCGAUCUCUUCUGCUUCUCCUGCUGCUGUACCUGGGAGAAGGAGAGCGCCUUCUCCUGUAUGAAGGAGAACGAGACACCGUCCGUGGCAUCUCUAACCCAGUACGUAAUCAAUCAGGGAAAAGGGUUCAAUUUUUAACGAAUCAAGCAAUCAAAAACAAGCUCCUCCUGUCUUCUUGAACCGCCCUACGAACUCCAAAUCAAACCACGUGUAACGGGAAGAACGAAUUAAACCCUUAGUUUUUUAGAAAUUAUCAGCUAUUACGGCGAUGCAACCUCGAUUCAUGGAGAGUUUACUUCUGCCGACCGGAUAACAGGACCUGAUUCAAUGAGGAGGGAGUUAAGAGCCGAUCGAAAAGAAACCUAAAAGAGAAAUCCGUGAAGCAAGGGGAAAGAAAAGGAAACCUUUGGAUGGCUGAGAGGUCCAAGCACCGGCCGGAAGGGACGGCGGAGCUUUCCGGCGGCGGGGAGAAGUCGAUCGAAAAGAAACCUAAAAGAGAAAUCCGCGAAGCAAGGGGAAAGAAAAGGAAACCUUUGGAUGGCUGAGAGGUCCAAGCACCGGCCGGAAGGGACGGCGGAGCUUUCCGGCGGCGGGGGGAAAGGAGAUUGGGUGCAAGGGGAGCGAAGGGAUUGAGACCCUGGGCUGCGCUAUCUCUACUCCGUGGCCUGUGGGGAAUGGCGCAGCGAUUUCCACACGGCAGGAUUCCGCCUUCCAAGAGGAAACAGGUGGGGCCAGAGGCGGAGAAACGCUUUAUAUGGAGAUGGAGGCGGCCUUGCAGUUUAGGUUGUCAACGGGCCGCAUUGGAGUUGUAUUCCUAAUUCCCUAUCCAAACUCACUAAAAAAAAGAUAAAAAAUUAAAUUCAACUAAAAUAUUUUUUUUUGAAAAAAAAAAUAACCAGAGCAACUAAUUCCAAUUGAAGUCCAGGUCCAAGGAAAUAAGAUUUGGAUCUACAUCAAACUCAAUUAACCAUUAAAUUUGCAUGCAUAUUCAUGCUUUUCAAGAUUCAAUUUGGCAUAUAAUUUUAGUGGAUUAAUUAGCCAAUGAUUUAUAAUUUCUACAACUAAAAAGAAAUUUAUUUUAAUAUUUUUUUAUAUAUGAUGAACCUAUAGCAAAUUAUAAUAGGAAAAAAAAGCAUAAUAUAAAAAAUUAUUAUUAAAAUUAUAUAAAAAAUUAUAAUCAAAAAAAAUUAAAAUUAUUUCAGAGUUUUUAAUUUCAUCCUGAACUUUAAUUUAGUACAAUCAAAUCAUUAAACUUUUAGAACGGUUCAAUUCCGACCUUGAUUACGUCUGCCGUCUACGUACCGUUCGGAAUGGGUAAUGUGGCAUCACGUGAGGAUCAUGUGAGAGGAUAAAUGGGGAUGAUAUGGAAGAAGGCUUUUUUUUCCUUUACUUCUUUCUUUGUCUAGAUUAUAUAAACCGAUAAUCCUUCCCAUUUUCGAUGACUCAACACUCGUGAUGGUGGUGGUUUGCUGGUCAGCGAGAAGGCGGUGAUCUGUCCUUCAUUCCCGUGAUGAAGAUAAUUUUUUUAUCUCAUAUUUUGUUCAUUUUUCAUCCAACUUUUACCUUCCUGAAUCCAUCUAUCUUUUUCAUCCGGCUUAUCACCGAUUGACUCCGGUUACAACUCGUAAGGACGCACAUCAGUGAGAGAAAGACAAGUGUUGGAAGACAUAAUAUCUAGAAGAGUUGGAAGAUCAUCACAUCACUCCCCAGUCUCUAGCAUGGAGUCAACUGGAAGCUAUGAAGCUCUCGAUCAGUGCAAAUGUAGUCUUGUAGCUAAAUUAUGGACUUCAUGAAGCAAUAAUAUCCUGGACGGAGGUUUAGGGGUUGUCCAAAUUAUCAGGUGAGUAUGAUCGAUAUCAACUGACUCUUUUUUCAAUGUUUAAUUUCUUAAAUUAUGCUACUAUAAGUUCUUUAGUUAUAAUAUGGAUAUUAAUUGAUGGCAGAACGAUUCUUAUUAUGGAUAUUUUGCUAAGAUUGAUCCAAAGAUAAGGGAUCAAGCCAAAGUAGCUUUACUUGAAAAAAAGGGAUGAAGCAAGGGAUUUGAAAGUUGAUGUGAAAAGAUUGUCUACUAUCGUUGGAAGAUACAGAAGAGAAAGUUUUGAUUUAAAAGAACAUGUGGUUGAACUCAAAGGAGGGACAAUCGAUUUAUUAGAAGAGACAGAGGAUUUAGAAAAAGAGGCUACUGAUAUCAAAGAUAAGGUAUCAAAGCUGAAAGCAGAGUGCAGAGUUAAAAAAGAAGCUUGCUAAACAUACUACGAGAGAGAAGCUAUAUGUGAUUGUAAUCAUGUUUUUAUUCAUUAUGCUAACAAUAGUGGUCAUAUUUUGAUCAACUUUUAGUAUGUUAUUAUAUAUUGAUUUUGAAAGUGGUCAUCAAACCACUUAAACCAGCUCUAGAAUUUUAAAGAUUUUGAAAAUCAACUUUGAAAUCAAUGUUAUACUCCAAAGUUGUUGAAUGUAAUAGUUUAUGUUUGAUAUUUGCAUCUCUUCUUAGUAAAGUUAUCUUCAUUAAAAUGAACUUGAGAUAUGAGAUAGUGAAGCUUGAAAGAGAUUAAAUGGUCAGUUGGCACAUGCGUGGAACCAGCAAAUAUGAAUGGCACAAGAAAAGUUCUUGAGUGAAAUGAUAUGUCAAGGUGUGCUGAGCAUCAUCCCUUAUAUAUCAAACAAUGAAUGCUUAAAGGUCAAGAUGUGUUUCAAAUAGGUUGAUUCGUAGGUCAUACAUAUAUUGCAAAUCAAAUUUGAUUGCCCCUACCUAUAUUUGAAUUCGUAGAUGAUACAUAUAUUGAAAUUUAAUUUUGAUUGCAAUGAAGUUAUUGAAAUUCAUAGAUGAUAACUAUAUUAGAAUUCAAUUUUGAUCGCCCCCCCCCCACACCUCCAUAUUUGCUUGCCCAUACAGUAUACGAUACAUAUAUUGUAUCAGAAAGUUAUGUAUCAUAAUCCUUUGAAAAAGUGGAAAUGCCAAUGAGAAUGCCAUUGUUAAUAAAGCUAAAAUAUAAAACAUUCAGUCCCGUGCCACUAUUAAUUAAGUCAUGUGCUACUGAGCAAAGAGAAAGCUGAAACAUUAGUUUUAAGAAUUGUUAGUUGUUAAGAACUGUAAGAUGCACUGUUAAUAAAGCUCCAAGCUUAUUGAAGCGACAACAAGUCCCUGAGAGCAAUUUUAAGCAUCAACUUAUGCCGAGCACAUUAGGACAAUUCUAUAUGUCUUAUACCAUCACCUGAAAUUUUAUGGUUCAUUUACAAACAAAAAUCCAUCUACUUAAGGAUUCUCUUUCCCACCAUAUCAGACAACUCUGCCUUUGUUUUUUUGCAGCCAUAUGCUAUGACAAGUAAGAAUCUCUAUGGACUUAACCUGACUGCAAUAUAGAUAAUCCUUUUAACAUCAUUGUUUAGCUUAAGAGACAAGCAACCAAGGAAUGCUAAUAUACAAACUUUGAAUUACAAACUUAUUCAGUUAACUGAAAUAUACAUUUGUUCACUUCAAAGUUCUUUGCAUAUACAUUGACAGAGUUCUUUGCACAUACAUUUAUUCUUUGUACAUACAUUCCUUCAGUUAGCUGAAACAUACAUUGAUAGAGUUCUUUGUACAUGCAUUUAUUCUCAAUAACUGAAACAUUCAAACCAAAUCUAGAACUUGUAAUUCCAACCUGAAACAUGAAAGUUAAUAACAAACAUCAAUAGUAAACAUUUACCACUGAAUCAAAUAUAAUGCAAUAUAAUAUUAUAUUGUUUCAUUACAUAUAACCUGAGCUAUCAAAAGAUUUGCAAACAACCAAAAAUAAUCUGAGCUAUUACAAACACUAAAAGUUCAUAUCUAUUUGUAAUAACCUAAGCUAUUACAAACAGUCCAAAAUAAACACUGAUCUAUGUAAACAAGAAGAACAAUCAUCUUGAACUACUUCCACAGCGGCAACACAAUACACCAUAUCAACUAAGCAUUAUCAACAGUGCUAUCUUGGGUUCCUAACUGUUCAGACAAUGGCUGAGUUUUUUUAUCCUGAUUCUUUCUUCUAGGAUCCAUUUGUGCUUUUAGUGAUCCCAUACCAAUUUGAGUUGCACUUCUUCUACUGAAGUGUCUCAUCCGGCUUGGCCUCUGUACAAACCAAUUGCACAUAUAAAUCAGCAAGAUGAUAUUAAACAACUCGAUUGUUGGACACAAAUCUUACUAUAAUUUUUUUUUCGGUAUCUGGUAAAACAUAUAGUCCAUUACCCUCGGAAAGCAUUUGCCAUCCCCUUCUCUUAUUUGGCAGUUUUGCUCGCCUCCUGGUGCUGGCUCCAGUAGAUGUAACCUGAUAUAAGAAAGGUAAUAAGGCAUUGACAUAUAAUGAUUAAAGUAAAAAGACAUGAAAUUGAAAAGUAAAUUUUUUUAUUUUGGUUAUGAUAACAUGAUUUUUACUUGGCCUUCCUCUAAGCCUCUUUGGAGGUAGAUCAAUUGUCAAUGAAUCACUUUUGUUGGGAUAACCCUACUUGUUAUGAACUGUUUUGAAGCAAACUUGAAAGGUCAUCUAUCUUCCAUGUCUUGAAAUCUUAUGAGGAUGCUUGAAUUCCUCGUGUGGUGUGGGUCCUUUCUUCUCAGCUUUUUAGGCCUGCUUGGCAUUACUCUUACUGAUGGAGGUAGCACUACCUCCACACCAGUAUUAGGCCAUAACCUUUCUCCAUUCACAGGUUGAAGUACAUACUCAUAACACUUCUUCCAUACAUCCUUUGUAUAACAUGCUACCACAUAAUCUUCUACAUUAUCAUUCUUAUGCCAUAUAGCAGAUAUGGCAUGACUAUAUGGUAUUCCUGUUAGGUUUCAUUCAUUGUAUGUACAGCUCCUAUCAAUCAAGCUGACUUCAUAGGAUUAUCCCUUACAUGUGACUUCAUAUUUGCUUUCACCAUUAUAAAUUAUCUCACACCAUCUGCUAUCUGACUUAUCUUUUUCAAUCUUUUCUUGUAUUCGAGGGCAAAUUUUUUCAUGCCACUUAUCAAUUUGUCCCUUUUUCUUUGCCAUUCGGACCAUUAAUGCACUCCUAAUAUCUUCAAGGAUAUCAAUCAAUGGUUUCUCCCUUACUUGAAGAAUGCAACAAUUGAAUGUCUCAGAUAUAUUAUUAUCAAUUACAUCACAGUUCAGAAAUGGACAGAAGAAGGCUUUAACAAACUUCUUUGGAUUUGCAUCCGUGAAGUCUUUUCAUGCUUCCUUAGAUAAAACUUUCAUCUCAUCUAGUACAUCCAUAAAGUCUGCCUCUGUAGUACACUUGGCGGCUUUGAAGAAGGUGAGCUUUAGAACUCCACCCUCAUAUUUUUUCCUCCAGUUUCAUAUACAUGCCUUGCACAAUUUCUAUGCUUAGCAUGUGGUAGCAAAUCACUGACUGAUUCAACCAAUCCCUACAUAUAAUAGGCAAAAAUAAAUUAGUAUAAUGUUCUAUAACUAAGCAUGAUGUAUAUUUAAAAGGCAAUUGACUUCAAUUUACUUUUUGCUGGUCACUAAUAACAGUCUAACCCAACUUAUCUCUAAGUCAUAGAUCUUCAGUUAAAAAAUUAAUGAACCAACUCCAAAAAUCUCUAUAUUCUAUCUUUACUAUAGCCCAUGCAAUUGAAAAUAUUUGAUUAUUAGCAUCUCUACCAAUUGCAGCUAGUAGCUCUUCCUUACAAAUUCAUUUUAAGAAAUAACCAUCAAGGCCAAAAGUGGGCUUACAACCUGUCAAAAAUUCCUUUCUAAGAGCUUCAAAAUCAAUAUAUAAUCUUUGAAAUAGUAAACCAUCAACAGACCUCUCAAUCUUCAUGACUAUUGUUGUGCUCUUGUUGCUUCUCCUAAUCGCUUCACAAUAAUCAGGUAGCCUUACAUAAUAUUUACUAUGAGACCUUCUAAUGGUCUCCAAAGCCAAUUGCCUUGUCCUCCAUCACUUAGUAAUGGUAACAUCAACUUCAAAUCUUAUCCUAAUAUCAUACUUCAUCUCUUUGGGCUUGUAACCAGGAUAGCCUAAGCUUUUCUUCAAAUUCUUUUGCUAUCCAUCUAGCUAUCAUUUGACUGUUCUUAUGGCUUCUUACAUAUUUAUGCUCAUCAAUAUAUAUCUUGAUUUGAAAUCUAUCAAGAUUUUUUUCAUAUGAAUAUCAUAUUCUGAAUGGGUACCCAUUUAAUGUACAUUUUAACUCUGCUCUAGUAGCCUCGUUCUUCAUAAAUCUCAUAUCAAAUUUUUGUGCUACACUAUAUUUGACUAUAGCAUCUUUAAAAUGUUCAAUGGUGUUGAAUGUCAUACCUUUACAAAAUUUGACAUGCUGUAUAUCAGUUUUUGAAUUGAAAUAAACCCAUCUCUUCCUCUUCAUGAGAUCACCAAGCUCAUGCUCAGGACUUGAUUCCGGUAUGUCAAACUCGGAUGAAUCAUGAUAAUCAUUAUCGUACCCAAUCUGCUCUUCAAGUUCAUCUAAGAGAGCAGAUAUGCUUACUCCUGUACUCUCACCCACACAUGGUGGAUGCUCUCUUUGUACGUGAUCCUCAUUCUUCUUAGUUUUAUUUUUUUCUUCUCUCACUCUUUCUCUUAUAGCUAUCCACUCUUUAUUAUAUAUUAAAAGCUCAACAUCUGUAUAACAGUUGUCAUCAGUCUCUCCAUCUUCACUGUCAUUGAAUGGGACAUACUCUUCAUCCCCAGAACAUUCCUCAUCAAUCCGAAUUAGCUCCUUAAGUCUUCUAUCAAGUACAUUUUUUUUUCCUUUCUUUACCACUGCUUGCUGACUUUGCUUAGUAAUUGUUUUCUUCAAUUUGCCUCUUGCUGGCGGCUAUCCAAUUCCUUUGCUUCUCAUUAGUUCCAAGCCUUAGUUGUCCACAAAUUGUUUAGUAACACUUCUAGUCCUACGUCUUCUUCUACUGAUUGGUUUGUUGAUUACUUCUUCAUAGUCAACAUAAACAUAAAGGUACUCUCUUCUAUCCAAUGCAAGAUUUAUUAUUUCUUGAAGCUAACCAUCUUGAUAAAUAAGCCUCAUUUCCUGAUCAUCAUUUGGAACAUACAUCCUGCAAAAUAAUCUUACAACUUUAUCCAUACACAGGUUGUCCACCAUAUCUUAUAACUUAUCAUAAGAUAAGUUAUUUGUGUCACAGAUAUCACAAUAUACCACAUUUCCUCCAACAUAUUCAAUGCAUCUACCCUUCUUGACAAGUUCUCGCCAUGUUAUACAACAAUGGUUAGACAAUCCAUUAUGUGAUAUGUUAAAAAGAUUAUAUUGAAAUAUCAGUAAUAAUAGCAAAAAAAUUAUGUCCAACAAUAAGGAAGUAGUUACACAAAAGUCUGCUUUAAGAAGCAGCAUACUAUCAUCUAGCACAAAGAUCUACUGGCUGAAAAAAAAAUGCAUUUCUAUAUUCCAUGAAUAUUGAAGACAACAAGUUGGGACCGCAUUCUACUAAAUUCAAAAAGAUUAAACAAAACUUUGGGAUCAUAUGGGGAUGAUUUGGGACCCAUUUCACUACAAACAGAAGCUUUAAUAAAGCUUCAACAGCUUUAAAAAGCUUUGGAACCACUUAAAUGGUGACAACUUGGGAUCCAUUUCACUACAAAUAGAAGCUUUAAUAAAGCUUCAACAGCUUCAAAAUACUUUAAUACCAUUUGGGACCACAUUCUAUGCACAUCAGAAAACUUCAACAGCUUUGGGAUCACAUACAUACAACCAAAAAAUUACUUUUUCAAUCACUUGCUACUCAAAAUCAAAUCUUUCUUAUUUUUUCUCGGGUUGAAGAAAUUAGGAUUUUUGAAAAAAAUCUACACAAACACUAAUAAGUAAAAUCAAAAUAUAAGAUAAAGAAAUCAUUUUGUGAAAAUGGAGGACCGAUCACUGCCUUCUUAUCGAUCGAUAAAGCAUCGCUCUCAUCAGAGCCGUCGGUAUCCAGUCGUUGAAAAUGGAGGCAAAGAAUGAUCGAUGAAAAAAAAAAGUCUUUUUCCACAUCAGCCUCAUUUACCCUCUCACGUGACCCUCACAAGACGUCAUGUUCUCCAUUCUUAAUGGUACCUAGACGGCAGACAUAACCAAGAUCGAAAUUGAACCAUUCUAAAAGUUUAAUGAACUGAUUGCACUAAAUUAAAGUUCAAGAUAAAAUUAAAAAUCUUCAAAUAGUUCAAAAAUUUUUUCGUAACUAUUCUUAAGAUAUAUUUAUUUUUAUGUUUAUUUUUAUAUUUUUGUAAUUGAAAUAAAAUUAAAUUUUGAAUAUCGAUUGAGAUUUUGGAGGUAGAUCUACGUAUGAAGAAAAAGAAUUAAGAAAUCAAAAAAAAAUUAUAAGAUUUUCUUUUUAGAUUUAUGCAUAUAUAUUUAAUUUAUAGAAUUUUUAAGUUCAAACAUAUUUACAUUCCAGCCUGAUCCAAUAAGAAAUCAAAAUCUUACAUGUAAAAUCCAACUUUUAUGUGAAAACAUUAAUUUAAAUCUUUUUCUAAUUAUAUAAAUCGAGUUGGGUUAUCAAAUUUUUAGAUUUGUUUAUAUCCUCACCUUGUAUUAUGGAGACUUAGCUAUGGAUCAGUGGGGCACAAUAGUUAUGAUGGUAUCUAAAGAUUUCUCCAUACCACCUCACUUUCCGUUACAAUCUGUAUACACGGUGAUUGACUAAGUAACACACAGGGAUGAUGUCAUUUUUGUCAUCUUUGUAGAUCACAUCAAUCUUUCUGAUACCCUCAACAAUGAAUGAAGUGGUAUUGGGAAUAGCACUCCCUAAAAAUAUAACAAGAUUUUUUUUCUUUUUUUCAAUUAAUAAUAUUUAAAAAAUAAAAUCUUUUGGACCAUAAUUGGUAUUUCAUUUGCAUUGUUGUUGAUCAAAGGGAAAAAAAAAAUCAUGAAAAAAAUUUAUCAAGAAGCAUCGUCAUUAAGUGGAUGUGUUGUUAACUUGAAAUAUGGUUUCAUGGCCAACUAUAAAAAUAAAUAAUGAUACUUUUUAUAUCUUUAAAUGAGAAGAUUGUAUUAAUAUCCUUAUAUUUUAUCGUAUAUUAAUUUUUACUAUAUUAAAUAUAAUCUAUUUUUCUGAAUUGAUGCUCUUAUAUUUUAUGUUAAUGGGAGGAUAAUAAUGCCAAGAAGAAAAAAAUAAGAACUCCCUUGAAUUUAUUUGGUUUAUAGAAAAAAGAGAUAGAAAAAAGUCAAUAAGAAAAGAAAUAAAUGUCUCAUAUUUGAUUGAAGUUUUCAGAAAAAAAAAAGAAGAUGAAAAAUAACUUUCUUAUGAAAAUAAAAUUUCUAUAUUUCAAAAAAAAUUUAUAUAGGAUAUAAAAAAUAAUUUUUUCAUUGAUUAAGAAUCGAGGAAAUAUCUUUUUCAAAAAUAUCUAAAAUAGAAUAAGAUAUUUUUUUCAAUUAAAAGCAUAAUGGGUAGUUUACUUAUAUAUUUUUUUAAAAAUAGAUGCUUAAUCAAAUAUAAUUUAUUUUAAAAUAUAUCACUCUGUAAUAAUUAAUUAAAUAUAUAAAAAUUAUAAUUUUAGAUAUCAUAUAUCGAUAUAUAAAUUUUUUUUUUUUUGGUUACAUACAUAUAAGUUUUUUUUAAAAAUAAAUAUUUCAGUGGAGGAAAUUUUUUCCGACGAACCCAACCAGUCCCCUAUCUUCCAAAGAAAGCGAACCGGGCUCAGAUUUAACGAUGGCCCUCCAAGAUGCCUCCGCAUUGCAUGCACCAGGUGCAAUUGGACCGCGUCAAAUCCCACGGUAGAUAACACGCCACGCUAUUCUUGUAUUUCACCAAUUCCGAUUGCGCGCUAUCCACCGUGCAUAUGCUCCGGAUUUGCCCAGGUUCAGGUGGAUGCAAUAAUUUCUCCUCCAAGGCAGAGAAGAGAAAUUGGGCUUGGCUGAUGACCCUUGCUCCAACUAUAGCAACGAUAAAGGAAAAUCGUUUGACGCCGCGGUUAACUGCACUCCCGCACCGCAGUCCCUCCUCCGUCGGUCACCAGCCAUGAAUUCCGCUCCCUCGAAACUCUAUACCGGUGAGUCCUCUUCCGCCUCUCCCUUCCUUUCUAUCUGUCUCUCUCUAAUCCCUCUGCCCCUUUACAAAACCACAGACGAUGUCAGCCUGGUCGUCGUCCUCCUCGACGCCAACCCCUUCUUCUGGGCCGGCGGCGGCGGCACCUCGCCCCACCAUCCCGCCGCCACCCUCCCUUUUGCCAAAUUCCUCAAUCAUGUGAGCUCCUUUUUCUUCCCAAAUCCUUGUAAUCUAAUCGAAACCUCAAAACCCCAAAACCUAACCCUAAGAUUCGAUCCUUUUUAGGUUAUUCCAUUCUUGAACUCCGUUCUCCUCCUCAACCAACUCAACCAAGUGGUCCUCAUCGCCACCGGCGUCAAUUCCUGCGGCUAUAUCUACGACUCGGCGGGCGGAGGGUCACAUGGUGGGAACGUGCCCGCCGUGUGCUCCGAGAUCCUUCGCAAGGUGGAGGAGUUCGUGGCCAAGGAUCGGCGGCUUGGGAAGGGGCCUGAUAGGGUGGUCGCUGGUGGCGUCUCUUCUCUCCUCUCGGGAUCGCUAUCCCUAGCUCUAUGCUGUAUCCUUGAUGGUUCUCUACUUUGAAAAUCACGUCUUUUUGCAUGAAGUUUGGGAUUUAGGAAAUUUUGUUGGUUCCUAACGCGGGAAUUAGAUAUUCAGAGGGUUUUCCGAUCUGGAGCACUCCAUCCACAGCCACGAGUAAGUAUCCCGUUUAUUUGUCGAGCUAUUAAUACUUGUGCUUGUUGUUAUUUUGUUGUAAUUUGUCUCCUUUUCUGCUCAUAAGUUAGUUCAUUGUUGAAAAGAUAAAAAUUCUAAGCUGAAGAAUAACUUAUGAUGACGAUGUUUGGAAGUUGUAUGUUUGCUCGAAAUUUGAUGGAAUAAUUGAGGUUGGGGUUGAAAAUGGUACAGGUUCAGGCUGAACACCUCGUGCUUAAUGUAAUUAGGUGGUCAAUAUCCUUGAGAGUGAAAGUACUAUAUUUCAUGAUCAUGAGUUUUGAUUAAUAUGAGAUGCUUCUGUCAGCACUCUUGGUUGUGGCGUGGAAUAGCCCAUAACACAGGUUCAACUGAGGUAGGGUCGCCUGACUUUGUUUGGAAACAAGAGCUAGGGUGAGGGUUUUACACUCAUAACUGAAGUUUAUUUAGGAAUCACCUAUUCAUUGACAAUAUUGUUUUACACACUUGUGUAUCUAAAGGGCCAUAUUAUAUUCUUCACAUGUGGGAGUCCAUUUGAAAUUCAAACAGUGAAAUAGUUCUUAUGCCAACAAGCAAAAUGGAAACUCUAACUUGACGAGCAUAGUAUUAAGAGUAGGAAGUAGACCUUUAGUUGUUCAUUAUGUUGAGGGUGCUAUAGAUGUCAUAAUCUUGGCAUGGUACCUUUGAGGCAUAUAUGUGUGAAAAUCCAGUCAAAAUAUAUCCAUUAUUUUGAUCACAAUGGAAUCUUGAUUUUCUAAUUUAGCCAGUACUAAAGUUUGUAGUACAUCAUAGGACCGUGGCUGGAAAAACAUGUGUUGGUCUCAGUUAGCCUGCUAAACUGUACAUCGACUUGGUGACUCAUGUGAAAUCAAUGUGAUGGCUCAUGUGUUAUGUAUAUUUGGAUGACUGAUGUAAAUAUAAAGUAAAAGCAUAGAAUAAUUUAUUUCAAUAUUGUAAUGACUGAUGAUGCAUUCUUUAAUUAUAGGUGACAAUUUAACUACUAUGAUUUUAGAGGAUGUGCUUUUGAACUGCCUACAAUAUUUUUAUUUUUUUUCUUGUUAAUCACCAAAGAUAUCAUUUGACAAAUUGAAAGAUUUAUAACAAAACCUUGUCAUGUAUCCUGGACAUGCCAAAAAUAAUGGGGAACAAAUUAAAAAAAAAAAAGUUAUUUAACUUCAUAGUCACAACAGAGCCAUAUCCUGUGGGCAGAGUAUAACAUUUUUUUUUUUUUGAUGAGAAGGGAGGAUUGUGACCACUUGUUUAUUAAUAAAGCAUUUUUAUAUACAAGAGGUUACUAAGUUAAGGAAGGGGAGAGGAAGAGAAACAAGCAGGAGCCAAGACACAGCUAUAAAACCGUUGCCAAGAUGGCACAGUUUCAUGUAUGACCCUUUGCAUCUAUUUCAUCUCAAGAUGUGAAAAAAAUAGAGGAGAGAGUUUAGCUGCGAUUCCAACUGCUUUGUAUCUCUCUAUUGUGCGUCACUGUUGUCAUCUCCUUUGAGAAUUAUCAAGCAUUCUUGUACUGGAUUUUUAUAUUUUCCUUGGUGACAUGAAGUCCAUCUGCUAAGAAGGAAGAGGCAACUCUGCCCUACUUUCUCUGACGAUGAUGCUUCGAAGUGAAAAACACAGUUGUUUCUUUCUUUCCAUUUACUCCAACAUAGUGUAGAGAUAGGGCAAUCCCAUGCAAGUUUCUUUCUAUUUUCUUUAAUGUUUUGUCUCCUGGCCAUCUAGCAAGCAUAUACAUCAACUUCAGUGACUUGCAGAUAGUAACAUUUUGAAUACAUGACAUGCACCAUUGUUGUAAUUUAGUGAUCAAAUCACUAGAUGGUACAUCGGUUAUUUUUAAAGACUAAGAAAAUUCCAAUACAAACGCAUCCUAAGAACCACCUUAUCAUUUGAGUUAUAAAUAUACCGAGUUACCGGUUACCUAUGUGAAGAAAAGCUAUUAAAGAAUUUAGCUUGACAAACAUUUUACAUUUAUAUGAAAAUGCUGUAAGUGAAGAGCAUACAUGCUUGGCUUGGUAAACUAGUGAACUCAUAAUGACUUGCUUGUGUCAGAAAAAAAAAAAGCUUCAACCUUGACCAAGUUAGAAGUAUCAUUUACCUAAGAAGGAAACAUGGCUUGGAUAAGCCUCUUGAUUUGCUGAAUCAUUCAAUUUUUGGCAGACCUGAGUAGAUCCAACUUUGCAUUGUAUUUCUUUUUCCGAGCCCAGUUGAGUCACAUGUAACUUUGAUACCCUAACCUGGAAUAUAGUUACAUGAGAAUCAUUAGUUAGGCAUUACUAAAGGCUGAAGGAGCAAACUUCAAUGCUGAAACUAAUGAUGUUAGUGUUUUCCUCAUUAAGAUGUAUCUUAAUGUGGCUAUUCUACCUUUGUCUUACAUGAACUUAAUUUUAGUAUACCGUGUCCAAUUAUGUGCAAGUUUUAGUGGUUUUACAAUUGAACAUCUGCUUCUUUAUACUCUUUUUGGGUAAAACUUUUCUGGCCCCCCUUCAUAUGCCAGUAAAAUUACCUAAAAGAAUGUUGUUGACUUGCAAGAUGUACAAUUUUGUGGUCGGUGAAACAUUAAACUAACAUCCCAAGACAGAUUUUAUGUCUGCAGGGUUCUCCAGAUGGACCAGAACAGUAUGUUUCCUUUGCAAUUUGAUUCCUUCAUAUGUAACUUCAUAUACUUGGCUUGAAGUCUGAAACAGUGAGUGGGCAGAUAUGUUGCAGUAAUGAAUGCAAUAUUCUCAGCACAACGUUCCAUGGUAUCCUUUGCAAAAAUCUGAAUUUAUUAUUUAUUCUCAUUUAAGUCUUUGAUGUUUUUUGCCUUCUUAAAAUGCCAAAAUGAUUUAAGUAAAUAUCUCAGUACCCUUGAGCACUUUACGAAUCAUACAGGGUUUAUUUGGAACUGUACCUCUCCCACAUAUGGGAUAUAUCUUAAUGAUGAUAAAGAUCUGUCCUUUAAGGUUUGUUUGUUUCAGUAAUUUCUUGAGGUAAACCGUCGUUAAAUAUUUCCUUAAUUGUAAUUGUGAAUCACCCCGUACACAAACAUAUAAUUUUUUUCCCGGAGAGGUGGAGGUGAGAGGAAUUUUCAUGAUAAACUCUUAUAAUAGAACAUCGACUGGUGCAGUGUAAGUAUAAUAUUAGAACUUGGAGUUUUGAAGUGACAAAGAAUUUAGCUCAUAAACUCCUGAGAAGCAUCUUGGAUGAGUUUUCAGACUUACAUCCUUUUAAAUACUUCUUUUGUGUUACCCCCUUUUUUUAUUUUGUUGUUAUGAUCGCAAACCCCAGAACCCCCCCUCCUACACGCUUUGCAUUUAUUAUGGGAUAUAUUUCAUUCAUCUUAAUUAUGAAAAAAAAUAUGAUCAUCUCAGGUUCCUAUUGAUUCGUGUGUUAUAGGGGUUCAGCACUCUGCCUUCUUGCAACAGGUGAUGUGUAGAUUUUGAAUUACCUCUAGUUUUAAACUCUGAUGUUUCUUUAGCGGAGUUUCUCUUUUUCCACCUUUAUUUUUCAGCAUCAAUUAUUAAAAUGAAUCCAUUUUUCAGGCUUCGUAUAUUACUGGGGGGGUUUAUCUGAAGCCCCAACACCUGGAUGGCUUAUUUCAAUACCUUGCAGUAAGUUCUUAUUUUCUUCUUUUUCUUGAUUUGACCUGAUACUAAAAUUGUUUUUAUCAUGAAGAUGAUCCUGCCCCUUGUUUAGUAGAUAAUUGAUAUGCCUAAUUUCUGGGCUUGAUGUUCAUUAAUUGGAAGAUAUUUUGUUUCUCUUGACUUUCAUAUAUUGGCAUGCUAUUACUGGUUUGCAGAUAAAAAUUACAGGCCUGAAACAAUAUUAACUAUCUAUUAUUUUGACUAUGGCAGCAAUAUAACUCAUUUUUAUAACAUCACGAUAAAGUUGAUCAAAUGCAAUAUCUUUUAGCUAUCUGCGACUCACAAGGCUGACUAGACAUGGUCUCAAGAUAUGUGUUGAAAUAGAGAAGAUAGCUACUCUAUAACUUCAGGAGAAAAGAAAGUAGAUAAAUGCGGUUGAUGACAUUAAUUUUGAACUAAUUAUUGGCCAUCCCACUUGACCUAAUUUACUUCUAUCAGUUCAAUUCUAUGCAACUACAUAAUAAUUAGUAUUACCCUAGUUCCUGUAAAUAUUAAAUUGGUCUAAAAGGAGAAGUUUAAGUGAAAAUGAACUAUGCACUAGUUUAGAUUUUGAUGCACCUUCCCAUUGCAAAAUAUGUGUUUAAAACUAGAACAUCUGAUAAGUGAUCAGGUGUUUCUUGAAUAUCUUUUAUUGAGCAAUAAAGAGCUGUGUGCAACCACCAGUGUUUCUCUCUCCCAAGAGCAAGUUGGUUGGGAAUCCCAUGCCCCGAAAACCUAAGGGUUCCUCCGCAAGGUUCAUCAACAGAGGGUGAGUCAGAGCCAGGUGGUUCUUGAAUAUCAUUUAUGAGAAGCUAUGGAAGAAGGAGAUAAGGCUGAAGGCAUUGUAGGAACUGUUAGUUUGCAAAGCUUAUUCUGUAUGAACAUCAAAACACCAUCAAUGGUUGGUAAAGCAUGGGCCUAUUCAAAACCAUUACCAUAGCUCAAUCCUACUGUAGAUUGGUCUUGUUUGUAACUGGAACAGCAAAAGGCAUGGCAUAGACAUGGUACGCAUGACAUGCACCAGACAUGGCACAGCAAAGCUGGUGCAGAUGUCUAAACAUAUCUUUUACAGUGUCCGCCACAGUAUUUUUUAUCAACAGCUUCCCAAAUCACAGAGCCCUCGGGCUGAAGUAUGGCAGAAAUAACUGUCACGAAGUGGAUCACGGAGCGUAAUCAAUAUAUUCCCUACAUACUCUUAGUUUUCUUAGUUCCCCAAAUUUUAGGAAGCAUCCGGCUCAGUCUCCUCAGGGUGUGGACCAGGUUCAGAGAUUUCCAGAAGAACAUUCAAGAUAUUUAGCUAGGAUUCUUUUUACCUUGAUAUCCUUUGAAGUUUUGACUACGAAAACUUUCAGGCUUGAAGGGUCACAGAACUAAUUUUGCAUGAUUAUUCUAUAGCUUUAGGUAACAAUUAUUCUGACUUGGUUUCUAUGUGUUUUCAGGAUUCGAUAAAGGUCAUUUUCUUCUUUCUUUUGAAUAGACCAAUUAACCAGUUAAAGCAACAAAAAACAUCAUGUAGUUUCUUUUCUUUUUUCCUUUUUCCUUUUGCUGUUUUUCUCAUGUGCUUCGUACCGUAGCAAUUAUAUUUUAAAUUUAUUCAUAUUCACCUGAUUUUCCAUAUUCAAUUUUUCUAUAUGAUAUCUAAAAAAGAACGAAGGUAAAAUGAAAAUGAAAAAAAAAAAAAGCCAACCAGUUGGGAAUAUGCCAUGCUUCUUGACCUGGGAGUCUGGGACUCUCUCUUCCUGUGAGAUAAAGUUAUGUUUCUACUGGGCACUUGCUGCAAAGUGCUUAUAGUUUUAAGUUUGUGCUUUUGUCAUUCAUUUAGUUAGCACAAGGAUAAACAUAUACAGCAAGCUUUGUCUGAUGAACUAGGGGUUGAUUAUAGGUAGCCACUGUGCCAUUUUUCCUAACCCAUGGCCAUUUACUUGAAAAGUUAAUCUGGGAUAUAAAACAAUUUUUCUACUGUUUUUCCUUUUAUAAACAGCAGUUAUGUAACCCAUUUUUAUAAAACAAUAUUUCAUUUUAAAAUAAUCAGUAGCCACCUCCAUAUGUAUUCUAUUCUGUUGUAUCCGUAGCGAUUUGAGUAAUAGUGAUUUAGUAUGCAAAAUCUCAUUUUACUGUUCAUGAGUUUUGUAUUUUAUGACCUUUUGUGAAAAUAUACAGGCGGUAUUUGCAACUGAUUUGCAAUCACGCAACUUUUUACAACUUCCCAAGCCUGCAGGAGUGGACUUCCGUGCCUCGUAUUCUCUUCUCCACUUUUUUAUUCAUCUACAUCUCAUUUUGCUUACUGCUUUUCCAUGCAUAUACAUUGUAAUUCAUACUUUUUUUGGGACUUUGGUGUUUGAUGGGAAAAAGAUGGGAGUUUGUUCUAGAACUAUGUUCAUGCAUAGUAGAGAAAAGAGAAAAUAAAUUAAAAUAAAUAAUCACAUUUAUAUUGUUUUUGAUUUCUCCACAUCCACAGAGGAAGAUGGGUGCCUUAACCUUUUCUCCAGCAGUAUUGUUAGGAUAAGAAGCUACAUUUGUAUUGGUAUUUUUUAUCAAUGAAUUAACACAAACCACUCACCAAACUCUAAUUGUUUUUUUUUCCUGAUGAAGUUGGCUGUUCUUAUGUCAAUUACGAUGCAUAUUUGCAAUGAUUUGUGAACCUUUUCUUAUAAUUGUCUGUAUUUUUGAAUUUCUAAUGCAUUUAUCUAAGGUUUGUGGUUCUUGCAGUUGCUUCUGCCACAAAAAGACCAUUGACAUGGGGUAUGUGUGUUCGGUUUGUUUGUCAAUAUUCUGCAAACAUCACAAGAAGUGUUCUACCUGUGGGUGAGUGGGAACUUCCAUGAAGCCAUUAAAAUUUCAAAAUCCAUCCUUAACCUACCCUAGUUUAUUCUUUUCACGUUGCAUUAGAUUUUGGAGUUGUAAUUUCUGGCUAUCGUGUUUGUUAUUCUAUGCCUGUGUUUCCAGGUUCUGUUAUGCAUAGCUGAAUUGUAGAAUCACGACAUUAUGUUGAAACAGCUUUCCUUUGGCUUAUAUCAUGAUGGCAAUAUAGGCUGGAUAUGACACAUUCUUGCGACUUUUGGGCUGUCUAAAGAAUUAGAGGGUAUUGAUAAUUUAUGCAACAUGCAAUACAAUACAUUGGAAUCAUCACAUUCUCCAUUUGCUAAUCUUGUAUAGUUACCUUUUCUUUAUUGUGAUUGUCUCCUAGUUUGGCUAUCAUUUUAGUUUGGUUGUGAAAUCUGCUAUCCUGGAUGUAUAAUGCAUAUUUCUGUACACUGAAAUUGUCCAACCUGAAGUUACAUGCUAUAGACACAUGAGAUAAUUGCUAGUUAUGUUUGGCAAAUGUCUAAUGUGGCUUUCAUGACCUUCAUAGUGACACAGUGUGAGGACCCAUCUGAGCAUGUAAUUAGUCCUGCAUUGAUUGUGUGCUGAGAAAAUCUUGGGUACUUAAGUAAGGCCAAGACUAGCCUUUUUGGGUGAGGUCUUGGAUUGUUACCAAAAGAAAUUAGAGUAGACCCUACUUGUAGCCCAUGUGGACUAGAGGACAUUGUAGGGCAUGCCCUUUUGAUGCUGACUACUAGCCAUUUGUAGUGUUUUGUUAUUCUAGCUUGACCCUUAGCCUCACUAGGAUGGAGGGCUUAAAUAAGGGGAGUUUGUGAGGACCCAUGUGAGUGUUUGUAGUCUCACAUCAAUUGUAGGCUUCGAGGAUCUUGAGUACUUAACUGAGGCCAAGGACCCCAAAUAGUAAUGUCUGGCUACCCUUUUUGGGUACGAUCCUGGAUUAUUGCAACAAAUGUAAUGAGUUGACCUAUAUAUAUCAUAUCAUAAUUAUAAUCAUCUGAACUUUUCCCAACCAUUUGGAGUUGGCUUUAUGGAUCCAACCUAUACAUAGGAAAAUAUAAAUGUAUGUAGAUAUGUGCGCAUGCGUAAAAAAAGAUGAAAAAAAGAACCAAUCUGCUGAGGCGCUAGGUGCUUUCAAGCAUCAUGUUAGUAGAUGUACUUUGGAGACUAAGUGGACUUUUGGAUUUUAGUAAUGUUUUGGUAUAAAGAAUUUAUAAAACUUUAAGCUUUGAGAAAUACCUUAGCAUUUGGAUAUCUAAGCUGGACAGUCUUUUCCACAAGCUAUUAUUUCCUUUCUGAGUAACUUUUCUAUGUUCUGACUGAACUUUUGUACUUCCACGGAUGCCAUUUUUUGAAAAUCCAAUUUCAAACCUGAUUAUUGUUUUAACCAUAAGACAAUAAUUUUUAAAAUUAGUCCCAGGAUUUUGUGUUUGAUAGCCGAAACCAUAUAGCCUUUUCCAAAAUCAUGGAUUCCCUUAUAGGUGACACUCCUGUUUAAGAUAUAUUUCCAUUUUUUGAAUCUCUUGAUCUGUUUCAAGUUUAUGCAUGGUUUUGAAUUCCGAAAUUAUUUACAAAUUUAUGCUUUCCUUGUAGGUAACUUCUCUAUGCUUUUUGAGUCCAAGUUUCUAAGAUUUGUCUUGCAUUUCCAGGAAUCUUAGUCACUUUCUGAAACUUUUAAGUUUCUUUGAAGUCUGGACUGUAAUCAACUAUGUUUUCAGACCUUUUCAUAUUUUAAAGAUUUUGGCUUGUUCUAUGGUCCUUUGCUCCGUUGGAUACAUGUAGCAUUUAUGUGAAAUCAUGAAAUUAUAGGUGCCUUCUAAUUGAUAUUUUUGAACUCAUACUUGGCUUGAUUCUACCCUCAUUGGAACCUCUUCUACUUGCCUCUUUCUAUUGAAGCUUUCUAGUAAAUGUUUCAUUUGAUGUUUAUGAGAAUAUUUGUCAAAUAUAAAACAAAAUGCCAUAAUUGAAGGUCAUUGGUGGACCCCUAGUCAGGUAGCAUAUGAGUGGCUUCACUUGAUUUGUCAAAGAGGAACCUUUGGUUGUGUGGUAUCUGCAGCCUCACUUGCAUUUCCAAUGAGUAUGGACCCCAACCAGGCAGUAUAUGAUGAGUGGCCUCACUCGAUAUUGAUGAGAAUCCUCUAUCUAAGUGUUAUGUUGACCCUUUCCCUUACAUAGUCAUUUGGACUUAAAUGGGGUGAGUUAGGACACAUGCAUGCAUGUGUUUAGUCCCACAUAGAUUGUGUGCUGGGAAGAUAUUGGGUGCUUAAACAGGGCUAAGGACCCCAAGAUAUAACUUCUGGCUGGCCUUCUUUGGUGAGGUUGUGGAUCAUUACAUAUAGGACCUACUGAGAUUCCAGUUGUGAGGCCACUUCAGGUUCUCAUGUUCUUCUAAUGCUUCCUAUGUCUCAUUCAGCUAAUUAUUUCUUUUUUGUUUAUGUAAUGGUCUGCAUAUUAUUACGAAGCACUUAGCUUUCAUGAUGUAGGAAACUUCAUGGCAGACAAUUGUAACUAUACAUCCUUUUAUAUUAGUUUCUUAAAUUUUGCAAACUAUCCAAGAACUUGUCGAUCAAUAUUACAGAAGUUCAGAUUUCUUUUCUUUGUUAUUUUCUCUUUUUCUUCAAACAGAAGUGCACAAUUUUUAAAUGUCUGUUUUGGUUGUAAUGUGAUUGCAUGUAUCUGGUGUAUAGGAAUUUUACUAAAAACAUAUUUUAAUUUUAAUAUGGUGUUAAAUCUAUUUUCUGGCUUGUCUUUUAUUCUAGUUUUUGUUCUACUAUCGACAUUUUAUGUUACUUUUAAUACUUUUUGAUGUUUUGUAAAACAUUUUGAUGCCUAAUGAAACUGUCAAUAAUACAGUAUCAUCCAAAAUGAUAUUCUCUUUUUCAAUUAUUGAUAUGAUUUUUUUUCCUAACUUUAUGUUUUUUCACAGUCGAAACUUCUGACUUGAACCCUGUUUGUUGAAACUAAUGAAGCUACUAAAACUGAUGCUUAUUUUGUCUGGCCAAAAGCAAUUUUAAUCUGCUUGAACCUGGCUAACAAGCCUAGAGCAAUGUGAGCUAUUACAAAGUGUUCAGUCUACUUAGAAUCUGAUUCAAUAUUAUAAUCUAGUUGAACUCUGCCAUACUGACUGAAGACUCAAAGACACAACAACGCAAUGAGUAAAUUCUUCAGCACUUGAAGACUCCCUAGAGUUUAUCCGUUGCAAAAUAAAGCUCAACCAAAAUACUAUAUUUUUUGCUCAGCAUAUCUUAACAGGUAUUGUUAAUAUCAAGUAAUACGUUAAUAGUUGCUUUCUCACUAGUGCAAUGUAAUAACAAAAGUAUAUCCUGCUUUAAACAAUCAUUAGUAUGUUGGUGAUUCUAGAAGUAAUGAAGUUGUUUGAAACUUGUUGUCUACGUAAAUGAACAAUUUGUGCUGGAUUUAUACAGCAUGUCUUAAUGUCUUACUGUUAAACACACCUUAUAUCCUGUUUCUGUGACUUGUUCUGUUUAUUUUUCAACCUUUCUAGAUAGGGUGAGUUUGUGAAAACAUUGGCUACAAAAUUGAUCACACUAAAUCAAGGGUCGUCACAUGAUACCCUUUCAUUUUUGUGAGGUGGAUCACCAAUACUGUCAGAGCUGUUUUAACCUAUAUUUAUUUCUUACUCAGUAUAAUUAAUAAGAUAUAGUUAAUUUGAUCUUUUAUCACUUGGUGGUAUUUCCUUUUGGUCUUUACCUCCCUUAUGUAUGAUGUGGUAUCGUACACAUUGAUACAACUAACUAUUUCAGAUCUGUUGGCAUGAUGCAGGUCAGAGUUCAAUCAAUCCCCUCCUGAUGCCAAUGCAACAUCAGAUAGAAAGAGAAAAGUUUCAGAGGUCUAACCACAGCCAUCAGGCCUAACUUCUGCCUUCCAUUAUGGGUGUCACUCACCUGAGUUUAUUCCCAUGUUCGGGACAUUAUUAUCCCCUUCCUUGAGGCUAUCUGUACCGUUUCUUGGACAUCCAUCUUGAUGACUUCUGACAAAUCACAAAAACUUUAUUUUCAAUCAGCAUUAUUUUCCCCUCCUAAUGACUUUAGUGAUACACCGUUUUUUUUUUUUUUUGGUACAAGCGAGUGAUAUACAGGUUCCACUGCUGGUAUAUGAGCUUCAUUUAAUGGUGCAUCCAGAAAUUGGAACUGGUUUUUGAAAUUUUUAUAUUUAAGUAGGAUAGCUGCAUAUAAAAAAUUGGGGAAUGUGGGCUUUACAAAAGACCUCAAAGCAUGGCUACUUAGUGGGGAAGGGUAUGGAGGGGGUGGUGUCAGCCUCAAGACGGCGGUUCAGUGCUGCACCGUGGAGUUUUUGCCAGGGUGAUGGCAGUGCUGCAGGGGCUUCGGGCCCAUCCGGUGCAAGGCCCGUUGUGUUGUAAGCGGCCCAUAUUCCUUAAGGGGUUGGCUUCUAAUGUUGCUUUACUAUCUCUAGGGAAAUUCUUUGUACACUGUCCAUGGUGUAGAAAAUUUAAUGUGAAGCAUCCGUUUUGAUUUAUUGCAUCAUGUAGCAUCAUUUUUUAAUAUGUAUUUAAUUUCUGUAAUUUUAUUUUUUCAUUUAAAAUUUUGAAUGAUAAAAUUGUUUCAUUUUUUUCAAAAAAAUUAUGAUAUUUUGUGUAAAUAUUAUGAUAUCGUGCAUUGAAAUUAUAAUUUUUUAUAUAGAAUGUCAUAAUUUUUUUUAUAGAAUAUUAUAAUUUGUUCAAUAAUAAAAAUAUAUUUUUAAUUUUUUUAUAAUAUCUUAUAAAAAAAUUAUGACAUUCUGUGCAGAAAGUUAUAAUUUCAAUGUAGGAUGUUAUAAUAUCUGUAUAAGAUGUUAUAAUUUUUUUUAGAGGAAAAAAUAUUUUUAUCAUUAAAAAAUUUAAACGAAAAAAUAGAAUUAAGGGUAUUAAAUAUAUAUUAAAAAAUGAUGACUAUGUAGCUCAAUCGGAUGAGACGGUGUAUUUCAUAUCAGAUUUUUUACAUUGCAUGUUGUGUACAAAAAAUUUCUCAUUGUUUCUAUAUGGGGCUGUUCAUGUGGCUCUUACGUCGUGCCUGAUCAGCACAGUAUCUUUUAAGUUUGUUGUUAUUGUGAUGGUAGUGGUGGGUUUUAUUUUGUACUUGUUGCUAAGCUAAAUAAAAUGCUCAUUUUUACUAAAUAAAAUAAAUUAAAAUAAAUUUAAUCAUAAGACUAUAUGAUAAAUAUGUUAUAUAUAUAUUUAAAAUAAAAAUAGAAUAUUUUUUUUUCAUUUUUCAUCUUAGAUAACUUUUAUCCGGCCCUGGUGGGUGCGUGAUGAUGAUUGUAGAAUGAUACAUCUUAAUGUGAACCAUUCAUUAAGGCAAUGCCGAUCAUAUAUGUAUUUUUGAGUGAGGGAGUGUCUAUCUAGGCAUCUUUUAUAUAAGAUAAAAUCAUGUAGUAUAGAUCAAAACGGAUGAUAUCUCAUGCAUAUGGAUAUAGAGACCUAUCUCGUGAUCGCAACAUGGGGUCAUUUUUUUAAUUUAAAUAUUUCUAAUAGUCAUUUAAGAAUUUGACAGAUAAUAAUGUUGUUACAUUUUCAUCAUUGAUUAUUGUCUUCUAUCAUAGCAAAAAAUUAGAAGAGGUCAUAUUUUAGCUUGAUUCUAUAUGAUUUUUAUUAUACAUGUGUGUGUAUAUCCAUGCAUAUAUAAUUUAUUUUAUAAUUAUAUCUAAAAAUUGUUAUUUAUAAGUAUACUCAUGGGUACAUCCGUUAGAUUUUUAGUUAAUGGUAUUAGUAAACAACUAUUUCGAGUAUGAAUUUAUUUGUAUUACUCUUUUGCUUAAAUACCUUUGAAAAUUUUAUAUAAAGAUUUCGCUUCUUUCAACAGAAAAAUGAAUGUUAAAUUCUUUCAAUAGUAUUAGCAUAAAAAGGUGGCACUGUUAAAUAGCUUUUAAUUGCUUGAUGUAGCUAUUGAAGCCUUCCAUUAUGAUCAUCUAUUGCAUUUCCAUAUUACAUUUCAAGUAUAAUUGAAAAUAGGAAAAAAAAUACACCAUGCAUCGUUUGUUAUUACUAAACUUAGGACAUGCAAAGCUUAAAAAAAAUAAUCAUUUGAUAAAUUAAUAAUGAUUAAUAUGGUAAAAGAUAAAUUGAAACAAUUUAUGGGAUAAAUAAAGAUCAAUCACGGAAUUUAUUUCAUCCUACAUUAUUUUUUUGGAUACAAACUUGAAAAUAGUGUGGUAAAAAUAGUGUGGUAAUUAUCAAGCACGACAUUGUCUUUCUUCAUGGAGAGGACUUUUUUUUUUUUUUUUUUUUUUUUUUCUUCCCAAAAAAUUUAUAGCAAGUAUAGCAAUAAUACAACAAACAACACUUGAAAAGUUUCUACUGCAAAAUCACAUUAACAUCUAAAUAGAUCCUACCUGGAAUAAAUAACCAAAUGCCAUAGUAGAGAAUUGCCCUAGAUGCGGAUUUUUCGUGGCAGCGUCCUCUCCGGUCUGGCUUGAAGGAACCUAUUUAAUAUAUGGGCUGUGCCGCGAUUAGCUGGUCACGAAUUCACCGGCAUGGGGCCGGGUUUCGAUCACAAAAAUGGGCCCGAUAGCCGAACUCGCAUGUACCACACCGGAAACACAUGGGGUUUACACAAUGUUUGGUGAUAUUUUCGGGGAAGCGUGGUCGGUUUUCGUUGCUUCGCACGUCAUCCGCAGCGGAGGCUGGACAAGGUCUUCCCGGACUCCAGCGGUCUAACCAUUACCUAGAACAGGUCCAAUGGACCACGCGAAAUCCCACGGUGAAUAACACGCCACAUUACCGCUUGUAUUCCCGAUUGCGCGUUAUCCACCGUAGCAUAUGCUCCGCGAUUUGCCGUGGUCCACUUGGACCUGGUCCAUGCAAUGAUUCCACCGUGGAUAGGGGUCGUGUCUUUCGCGCGACUCCGAUCACCUACCGUUUGAUUUGAGAGGCGUGCAGCGGAUGAAUGGCGGAGUUGCCACGUUUUGAGUGUGAUAGAUGAUCCAACGGUAGAGUCGUGCCAAGAAAGGUAAUCAUUCUUUUGCGCAAAAGAUACAACCCUUGUUGCCCGUACAUUAGCAUGUCCUCCGUCCAAUUCGGAGAAAGUGAGGGCCCUUCUAGGGUUGCCGCUCCAUAAUUCUUGUUCUCCUUCUUCUAGGGUUUCCUCCGCAAAUUCUUUGCUUUCUUCGUAGAGAGAUUGAGAGAUGGUGGGUCACGGGAAUGCAAUCCCACUGGAGGUGGUGGGGACGAUGAUCGAGAUGGCGGACGUCGCGUGGAGCGCCGUCGAGUACCGCCGCGAGCGCAAGGCCGACGCGGCGGAGGACGAGAUCUCCCACCUCAAGGCUGAGAACCUCCGCCUCCGGACCGUGCUCGCAGACAAUGUUGCCGUCCUCCAGAGCAUCUAUAAAUCCCCAUCUGUCUCCAAAGACUGCCCUCCGGACGUGAGCCCUUCUUCACUUCCUUCCCCUCCCUCCUUUUCUUUCCUUCAAAUUAUUGUAGUUAAACCUUCGUGAGGUUUGAGAUGGAAUUUGUGGACAAAAAGACCCAAAAAAGAAGGAAUCUUCAUAGCUACAUGCUUAAUUCCCCCUCAAAAAGAGGUUCUUAUAUUUCCUCCGUUCCCUUUGCCUUCACUUAUAUAGUUUUCAAUGAAUUUGAAAGGAUAUAUGCAACAUGUCGAUAGCUGCGAGCUUAAUUGCCCAAAAGAAUUUUUUUCCCCUUUUCCGUUUGCCUGCAAUUAUGAUUUGGAUGAAAAUUUUAGAGAUUAUGUGCAGUAUAAGAAGAAGAACAGAAAGAAAAUGUUAAAAGAAGAAAUUUGACAGUUAUGAACAUAACAUGCUCAAGAAUUGUGAAGAAAGGUCCGAAGAUUAUGAGGAUUCGGGGGAAAUUUUGACUCUGCAAUUUACUUUCGCGGACCUAAAAAUGAUGUUAUAAAUUGGUAACCUGUCUGUCUAUUGCAGAUAUGGAAAAUAUGAAAUUUCGCAGCAUUCAAAAAAAAAAAAAAUGGAAAUCUUAUAAUUAAUUAUGAAGUGACAAUUGAUUCAAGUUGAUGUGGAGAUGAAUUGUUAUGAUUUUGGGUUAUAUAAAGUGAAUCCAGGUAUAUUCCUUUUAUGCCAUGAUUUUUGGAUCUGCUUCAAUCUGAAAAGGGUUGAGAUCUCUAUUUAGCCGCACCAUUAUUUUGCUCACACUAAUGCCUGCUUUCUUAUGAUUCCUGCUGAUUGUUCAAUCAAAUAGUGACUAUUUCAAUUUCAAAAUAUUGCAUAUAUAUAAUCCAUCCCCAAAAGAUGAAUUUUGGUUAUUUAAUAAUAUCUAUUAUUAUAGGGCAUUUCAACACUAUUAUGUACUCAAGCUUCUCUUAAGAGCCUCUUUUUUCCCACUCUGGCACCUGAAUUUGCUCCUGCAGCUUCCUUUUGGAUUCAAUGACAGUAAGUUAUCAACUUCAUGUGCUUAAUGUUUGAGGUUUUUUUUUUUU
rnacentral:lncRNA from 1 species